rnacentral:lncRNA from 1 species
UUUUUUUUUUUUUUUUUUUUUUCCUGGUGAAGGCUCUUUGCUGAUAAUCUGUUAUGCAGAGUGCACGGAUCCAGUUGUUGAUUUCCAUUUCACACAUAUCAAAAUAAAGUCCACCUGGGAUACAAGUGAAAGCGCAUAAGGAGAGACAAGAACUUUGAGAACUAGGGUGUCAUGCAAAAACAUUCACUCGUAAGAGUUUGAACCGAUUUGAAGUUAAAUGCACCGAAGGAAUCGCUCGUGUCUAGGACAUUUAUUAAACACAAACAUACCCGUCCUGUCUUGAAAUCGAUUUCAAAUAUUUGAAGCACAGAUUCAACCAGUGUAAGAGGUCUUUAAGAAUAAACAGAAUCGGAAAAGCCGUCAGUCUCAUAAGUCCUGAAGGACGAAUCGGAUUGAUUGAGGGGAUAUAGUUGUGUCCUUCUCGACCGCAACCUAUGAACAGAAAACGAAAUGAUCCAGUACCACUAACGCAGAAACAGAAUCGUGCCCUCUUGACCCAGAAAACGGGGAAAAUCGAGGAAAUACAAAAAACAUCAAAACGAAACAAAACAAAAUGUGAUUGCCCCUCCGAUUCCCCUCCAAGAUUUCUACGUGUAAUGAAAUCCUUUAUCACAGUCAAGAUUCUAGAAUGAAAAUAUACCUCAAGAUGAGCUUCCACUCCACAAUCGCUCGAUAACGUAUGAAAAACGUUAAAUUCUUCCCAAACAGUGCAUCUUCAAAACACGUCCUAGACAACCCAAAUCACGAGAGGCUCUGCAUUCGCUAAUACAAUUCACCGCUCUUUUAUCUCCGCAUUGCAAACAAACUAGAAACUACCGCCGCCCACCCAAAAUCCACACAAAAUCCAAUCGCACUACCCGUCCACGUCAGACACCGACCGCCCCCUGAAUGAUAACCAUCUCCAGGAAUCUAGCGAGCUAAUUCACCUCUUUGAAAUAAUCUAAGACCACCCCAACAAAUCUAAUCAACCAACCCCGAUCUACACACUAAAACCAUGAAUCCGAGCCAAAGCAAGCUCCAAUCAAGGCGUUAAAAUAGUAGCCGCCUCUGACUCAUCUCUGCAACGCAAGGAUCCGACGCAGUACAUGGCAGUGACAGAGAAUAAAACACAAUGAAACGGUAAUGAGACCUGCCUUAGAAAAUGUCAAACUCGCCUUUAUCACCAGGCUAAAUUAGGGCGGGGAAGUAGGUGAUCCUAAGCAUGACACAAUAGUAGCAACAGUAAACUGGAUUAGUUGUUGGCUACCACAGCACUCAAUUCGGCCCCUGCUUAGCCCACGAACAUGGCAGAGCAACUAAAUAUUACCCCGAAUUCCACUAAAUCUGUAAUUUCUGCCGCUGCGACAAGUAUGGCACAGGGAGCCGGUCAAGUUCAAGCACUUCGCUCUGGGAUGAGGAUAACUUUCUUAUGAAUUAGAAGUAGCACAUUGAUUAGCGAAGGCUAUUCUUAGCCGUAGCGAGAGAUCGGAAAAGUAAACUACAUAGCUUACACUUAGGGCAUUUCAUUUCGCUUGGUAGCUACCUCAUCAACGUAUUUAUUGUGCUGAAGGUGGGGUUACAUUUUCUCCGUUGAGACACAUGACGCGAAAUUGUUGGCACAGUUGAAGAAGCCCAGGAUAAUCUUGGUGGAGAGUUAAAAAUCACUUGUUGGGGUUUGCACUAUGAUCAGGAACCCAACAGAACAAGAAGAUGGCCACCCACAAGCUUGUCGUGCAGUCAUUGAUAGAACUGCAUGUUCAAUACAUUGCUAUCUUGUCUAGUUACUUUUCCUUUAUCUAGAAUUCUUCUGAAUUGAGCUUAUUUUUUCCUUGUCGUCAUUUUGUCUCUGCUGUUUUUUAGAACGAAAUGAGAUAUAAACUUGCUCAUUGUAGCGUGACCUGCGAUUAUCGACAGCUGGAGUGACGGUGGGGCCCAGAAUUGACCAAGUCAGAAGUCAUAUCCUUGCUUUAGAAUCGAUGCAAUGCUAUUGACUCCCUUGGGCAUUCUUGAUCCUCAGCAGAAGUAAGGAUGGUCGGUCGACCUCCUCUGCAGACACCUGUUCUUGUGCGGGAGUAACAACUCACAUUGAAGGUAGACCUUGUAGAUUGAAUCUAGACCCAGCAGAAGGACUCUGCAUUCGAUUUGGGAGACGACGAAGUGAAGCGAAGUCCUUCCUCUCGGUCUGUGUGACAGUGUCCGGCUGAAUGGUCAGGUUGAAUGACUAUCUUACCUUUCAUGACUUUGAUCAUUACUGCAACUGGAUCAUUUGGACUUUUACUGUCGGUGUUAUGAAUCUUAAGCAUUCAUAAAAUCCAAGAGAGUACUUGGAAAAGUCCUUUAAGGUCGCAAUAGAUUUUUGUCUGUUUCUAUAAACCUUAAUAAAUUCCCCGACUACAGCAGCCAUUUACGAAUCUGGUGGGUGGUGGAAUCACUAUUUCACAAACCAGUUGUGACAUCUUCCAACACGCAGAGUCUAAGCUGCCAGAUAAUCGACUUUGCACCGCACAUCCUUCAGCUACGCACAGGCAUUCAACACUGGUAUAUGUGUGCACGACCAACACCACAGCAGUUUAUAAUGCAACCCAAGCAACCUUGGUAACAACUUUGCCAGUGCCGGCAAAAGCAUAGCUGCUAGAGACUAAUCGAUGAAAGCCAUGAAGGGAUGUGGACGAGAGCCUCACCAGAACUGUCAAUAGCUGAAAGUCGUGCCGACCUUUGAGGGCUUUGCGAAGUACACCUGGAACGUCUUAUCCUCUCAACGAUUGAGAACUAUGCCCACGGACAAUUACAGAUGAAAUUCAACAUUGGUUCAGUUUCUGCUGAUUGACGCAGCUGACAGGUGAAAUGAAUGAAACAUAUCUACAACACAAAAUGAGUAAACAAACAAACAAACAAACAGAAAUAAAUAGUGGCACCAUCAGGAAAAGCCACGAGAGACACUACAUGAAAUCACAACAACAAAAUGUAGCCAUCAUUGCCAUCCCCAUCCAUCAGAUUACAUCACACUUCCCUCGGAACACAGCCAGAGAAAACUAUGGAAAACAAACAUCCCUAAUUUCGCAAGCUUCAGAACCGUAGUCUCCAAUAUUCACUGAGCAUACUCAGUCGUGAAAACAUUUACACCUCGAAUUGUGCAAACAGUUAGGUGCACAUCUUCGAUCGAUCACAAUAAAUUAUUCCUCCAUCUUCCGUUUCCUUCGCUCAUCUGCGCAUCGAGUUCUAUGAGAAUUUCCAGAUCAUCUCAGCUGUAAGUGCAUCUGAAGCCACCGCACGUGAUGUGGCCCAGCGGAGCGGAUUCUUUGUUUCGUUUCCAUCGAUUUCGCCGCUUCACGUUCGCUAUGGCACUCCCACGAAUGCUUCAUCGCAGUGCUCCAUCACUCGCACAUGGUUUGAAAUCGCACCGAAACCCUAUGUUGUCUCGCACUCCCUUGUUGCCAGGACCGUUCAUGACAUCGACAAUGCUACCAUGCCGAGGUUUAGGGUUUCAGUUUUUUCAUUUGUUUCGUGAGCAUUAGGGGAGAAAUAGGUUGGAUAACUUUAAAGCCAAGAUAAGCAAUUACAGAUUAGGUUAAGUUGAAGUAUGAUUGGUUGAGAUUAAUAAUAAUUGUUGAGAUUAAUAAUAAUUGUCAUUUAGAUGUGUACAGUGAACUAUGAUUGGUUGAGAUUGAAAAGAGUUGUCACUUAGAUAUAUACAGUGUAUUGUAAUGUAAACAGAAUAAUGAGAAGGAAAUUAAGUUACAGAAUGAUUUAAUAAUUAGACUUCGUGGGCCUAAAAAUGCUGGUGCAUGCAAAAAUCAUUAUUAUUCUCAUGUGAAUGUUAGAUAGAACAAUGUAAUUUGCAUAAUUAGAAAUUGUUUUAUUUAGCAAAUUGGAAUAUGUAUUUUAAUUCUAUUUGGAAAUGAAUAAUUAAACAUAUUACAAUUUUGAAUUUUGAUUGAUGGUUGCACUUAAGAUAAUUUCAAUUAACUUAUUGUUUCAAAUUAGUAAUAAUAAAUAAGAAAUAAAAUAUCAACUUACGUAGUUUUAACUCUUAUUAUUUUAAAAAAAGUAAUUAAAAUUUUGUUUGCAUACAAAACUCUCUCUCUUUAUAUAUAUAUAUAUAUAUAUAUAUAUAUUAGGUAUUGUUAUUAUCACCCCAAUUUUUGCAAUUAUCACUACAACCUACCAUCUAUAACAUGUCACCAUGGUUUUUGCUAAUGCUACUACAAACUACCUUAAACUUGAGUUACACACUAUAAAGUAUUUAUCUCAACUAUUAAUGUUAUAACCAAAACAUCAUUUUAAUUACUCUAGUCUUUAUUAAUUACUUUGUGAUACUUAAUUACUUUUCUUAUUUUCAAAAGUUGGAGAAUCAAAGGGCCAUGCUUCUACUUAUUCUUCUCUAAUCCUACAUAUAUACUUGACACCACCCUCUUUCUUCUCUUUCCAUCACCUUAUCCGUAAACCACAUGUAUUCUUUCUUCCUAAUCCUCAAUUUCUUUGCUCCACAUGCAAUUUCCAUCAAUGUUUUCAUAAGAAUUUUUUACUCACCUCAAACUUUUUAACAUAAACAAACUUGAAUUUCUACAAAUUGCCAAGUUAGUGCUUAAUGAAGAUUGCAGCUCUUAAAAAGAUAGAAACACUUCUAUGACAAUAGAAACAAUAAGUAUAUCAAAAAAGAAAAACUAUCAUCUACCAUCAUAUGUUUCUAGCUAAGCUGACGUAUGUCUUUUUUUAUUCUAUGUAUUACAACCUCCCUUCUAUUUUCUAAAAUACUUUCUUACCUCAAGAUCCAUAAGUUCAAACCUUAUAAUCUUUCUGCUGACAAUUGCAAAUCUAAUGGUGAUACCUACAAAUAUAUAUAUCAAUCCAAGCAUUUUUAGUACAAAUUGUUGAUUCAUGUUGCAUAUUUUUUCUAUAUUAGUGUUUUAUGAAUCUCUUUAUUUAGAUGAGACCUUAUCAAAGUAGUAGAUAUCUUUUUAUGGUAUUAAGUAGAAUUACUUCUUUUAUGAUUUAUUCUCAAUUUAUUUAUAAAAAUUCCUCAUUUUUCAUAUUUGACUAAGAAAUAGAAAUAAAAUUAUGGUGAUGAUUUCAUACAAUAGAUCAUGACUACUUUAUUACUUUUUAAUCAUUCUUGGUGCUAAAGAUAUGUUGCAAUAAUGUCCACAAUAUAAAUUAUAAACAAUCAAAACAUCAAUACACUUUUAUCACCAAGAAAGAUUAUAAAUUCAAAUCCAUGUUUGUAAAGCUUUUAAGAAGCUUUUUUUACAUGUUAUUAUAAAAUUUACCUAUUUUUAUUUAUUUAUAUUUUAUUUAUUUUAUUUAUAUAAUUAAUGAUAUUGGUUAUAUCUAUAACAAGUAAAUAUAUAGAAGAGAGUAGAGCUUCCUUAAAUUUUUGUGGUGUUUUCUAUGAAGGAUUGAUUCUUGUUGUUAUCUCCCAUUUUUCGUCUUCUAUCUCUUCUAUUAUACUAUACAUUUACUCUUACUUAAUUAAUUGUACUCCAAGUAGAUAAAUCUAAAAAUUAGUUAUUGCAUGUUGUAUUAUAUGUAAUUGUUAGAUUUUACAAGGAACUAACAAGCACUCACAAAUAGCAGUAAAAAAUCUUAUAGUCUCCAAAAAAUUGAUGGUUAAUUUCAUUAGUUAGUUCUUUCUCUUGGAAUUGUAUGUAGAGUAUGGAGGUUGAGGUUGUGAAACAAAAAAAAAAGAAAGAAAGUGGUGUGUAGAAAAGUAAUAAAAAGUAAUGAAAAGUAAUGAAAAAUCAUAAUUUUAAGUAUGCAUUAAUAGAAAUUAAAGCAAAAUUUGAUCUAGAAUGAACUUUCACUAAGAUUAAUUUGUUCCAUCUUCCAUAAGUUUGGCCUUAUCCAACAUGGCUCUAGAUUACUUAUUCUUCUUAUCUUUUUGUGAUCAAUUUUUUUAGUUUGUUGACAAUUCUUCUAUUAAGUCCAUAAACGCUUCAACAUGUGUCAAAGACAUGAAUCAUAGCAAAAUUCUACACAUGCAAUAUAUUCUUUUGACAUUGUUAAUAAAAAAGCAAACAAUUGAAAGAUAGAUCUAAGAUAAAAAAUAGAAUGUCUAUUACCAAAUACAAAGUUACUAGAGAUUCAUAAGAUAAAAGAAGAAUACCAAAAAGACAUUAACAAAAGUAAAGAAGGUCUAAUUCUAACUUCUAUAUAUAUUAUCUAAUUAAAGAGCUAUAUGGCAAUAUUCUAUGAGUCGUCCGACACAUAACAACUUGAAAAACACAUGUCAAAUUUAUAAGAUAAGUUUUCUACAAGAGUGCCAUAUGGCCAAAUUCUACCAUAAGUAGCCAAAAUAUACAAUAAGUGGUCAAUAAAACACUUGGCCAACUUGUUGGCCAAAUUUUCAACCUACUACUUACCUACAAACACUUGUAAUGUUAAAUAUGUGUUUACAAAACUUUAUGAAGGAUAUGAAUCUUGAAGAAAUAAAAAAUUAAUUACUCUUGUAUCACUCCAAAAGACUAAAUUUUCAUUAAAAGAUGGUGUAAUAUUAAACUAAAGUGGCUAUUCUAAAGGCAAAAAAAACUAAAGUCUCUUGAAACAAGACUAAGAAUAAAAAAAUUUAUUAAUAAGAAUGAAAAAGGCUUCACUCUUUCUUUUAUAUAUACUAACUUACUAGGAACUAUCUGAUAACAUUCUAUAGGACUUCCAACACGUGUCCAACUUGCAAGACACAUGUCUAACUUAUAUAAGUUUUUUAUAUGUGCACCACAUAGUCAACUUAUUUUAUAAGCUACUAAUACAUGUAAUACAGGGCUAACUUAUUGGCAAAAUUUCUAACCUACUAAUCAAAUACAAAUAUAUCUAAAGUCAAAUUUGUAUCUAUACAGCUUCUAAGAAGCUUUGCCAGAAGAUAAUAUCAAAUCUAUCUACAUUUAUUUUUUAUCUAAUAUUUUUUUAUUUAGAUAAAUACAUAUGUUUGUCAAAUUAUUUUUCUUUUAAGGAAAAAUUCCACAAAAAGUGGCAAUCAUAUAUUAAAAAAAUUGAAGAAGUAUAAAUUAUAUUUGUCACAUAUUUUAAUCUUAAUUCCCUCUGAAGGUGGUUGAUAGGUCCUUUCAUUUAUCAAUAGAAUCUCAUACCAAGGCAAGAAGACUAUCUUAUUAUUUGAUUAUUACUAAGGCCUUUGUAACCUCAAAUAAAAUAUUUAUAAUACCAUGAAGGAUGGUUCCUACUUCUAAAAAUAUUAUCAAGCAUCAAGAGUUUCUUCCAAAGUUAUGAUACCAAAUAUAUUAUAUUUUAUCAUAUAUUUAAGGAAGAACAUCUUAUACUUUAGGAUCUUUAUUUUUAUUGGUUGGACUUGAAGGUUAUAAUAGUUAUAAUGUCUCAUUUGAUAAUUUAGCAAAUGAUAACUCUUGAAUUGAAUCUGCUAGUUGUUUAUUUUUCAUCUUUUUAGUACCACAAAUAAAAAAAAAUUAAAAAUAAGGAUAGAUAGUAAAAUAUGAUCUUUCUUGAAACUUAUUUUUUUAUACUAAAGAUUUGUUAUUCUUCAUUUUGAUUUUGAUGGAAUUAUUGAUUAAAAAAACAUCAAUCUUCUUUAUUGUAUUUAUAAGAUUCUUGAUUGGCUUCUAUGUGCAUUCACUAAUAUCAUAUCUAUGCCAAUAAAUGAGAUAUUUUAAUCUAUUUUGAUGCCACCUUGAAUCUAAGACGUUUUUGACUUCAUAUCCUUAAUUAUUAUCUAUUUCUAUAGAGGACAUUGGAAUUUAUCAUCUUCUUGGUAUAUUUAUUUUUUUGUAUAGCUCAAGAAGAGAUACAUGGAACAUCAGAUGGAUCUUUAUAGACUCUAGUAUGUGCAAUUGAUAAGUAACUCAAUUAAUUAGUUUAUAAAUAAAAAAUGGUCCAAAUCUAUAAUAAUCCAACUUGUUAUAAAGACAAAUAGUAUUAAUAUUAUGACUAAAUAACCAUACCUUGUUGCCAACAUGGAAUUAAAGUUAUUCCUUGCAAUAAGCAAUUAUAUUGAUCUUUUUUCACUCUAAAGCUUUUUUUAAUUGUGCCUUUAUUAUUGCAUGUAGCUUUGACAAAAAAUUCACUAGAUCUUUUGUUGUAAAAUUAUCAACUUUUAAAAAGUCAAGUAUUAAAUCAUAGAUGAUAACCAUAAUUGGUAAAAAAAGAUAUUUAUUGAGUAGAAGAAUAUAUUGUAUUAUUAUAAGCAAAAUUUACCAAUGGAAAAAAAAUUAUCCAAUCAUCUUAUUGAUAGUUGAUGGUAUACCUCAAAUAUUGCUCUAGAAUUUGUUCAUUUGUCUAUUAAUUUGAGGAUAAAAAACCAAAGAUAAUUUUGUGUCCAUCUUUAAAAUCUUGAAAAGAGUUUUUUAAAGUUUUAGUAUAAAUUGAGUCCCUCUAUUUGAUAUAAUAUUUUUUAGUAAUCUAUGAAAAUAAUAAAUAUUGUUAAAGAAAAGCUUAGCUAUUUUUUUACUUAUUAUAAAUUUUAUACAUGGUACAAAAUAAACUAUCUUGAUCAAUUAAUCUACUAUUAAAAAUAUAAUCAUAAGAACUUAAGUUUGAAAGAUCUGUGAUAAAAUCUAUAAAAACAAAAGACCAUGGUUUUUUAAAAAUAUAUAAUGACUAAAAAAGUCCAUAAGAUUGAUGAUAUGGAGUCUUUAAUCUUAAAAAAAUUUCACAUGAUUGCACAAAGUCUUUGACUACCUUCUAUAUUUAAGGCUAUUGAAACUCUCUGAAUAUUAGUUCUAAAGUCUUAUCAUAUCUUAAAUGUUCAAUUUCUAGAAAAUUGUGAUAAGCUUUAAUAAUACAUAAUUAUCCUUCAUCUUUUAGAAUAUAUAAGCAACUCUUGAAAUAGAAUAGAUUAUUUUUGAAUUUAAACUUAAAAUUAUUAUGAGACUUAAAAGAAUUAUAUUUAAUAUUAUAAAUAAGAAGAUCACAAAGUCCACUUUAUUGAAUUUACUUGAAAAAGGUUAUAUCAAUAAUUAAUAUUGAUUUUAUUGCUCAAAAAUAAAAAUUCUCUAACUUCUAAACAAUGAUGCAUUUUAAAAAUAAAUCUACAAUUAAAAAAAAAACUUUUUUAUGCAUUUCAUAAUUAAUCUGAAUUAUUAAAUUUUUUUAGAAUAGAAAGCUAUUGGAUGGAGUUUGUCAUUUUUUCCCAUUUUUGACAAUAUUUCUCCUAAAGAAAAAAUUGAUGAAUCUAUUUUUAUAAAAAAAAUACCUUGGAAAAAUUGACAUAAUAUAAGAUUGGUAUAAAAAUGAAAGAUGUCUUUAAGGCUCUAAAAGAUGCUUCAGCUUCUAUGCUUAAUUCAAUUUUGACUUUACAUAUAAGAUACAUAAAAAGAGCCUCAAUUUGAAAAAAGUUCUUAAUACAGAUUCAAUGAUAAUUGUCAAAUUUCAAAAAACAUUAGAUAUCUCCUACUAUUUUUGGAUCUUUUUAAUUCAUGAUAGUUUAGACUUAAGAUCUAUGAUAAGGCCAUCAUAUAAAAUGAUGUAUACUAAAAAAUCAACUUGUGUCAAGGACAAAGACUCGAUGAGGAAAAAUAUACACCAAAAGGCUAUCUCGAUAUAAUAAGUCAAAAUAUAAACAAGUAGGUAUAUUAAAAGGAAACUGGAAUGGCUAUUGCCACAAGACAAGAAACUAAAGACUCUUGAACCUGGACUAGAAGCAAGAAAGGAGUUGACAAGAGUGAAGAAGCCUUCACUCUUGUCUCUAUAUAUACUAUCUAACUAGGGGCUACGUGGCGACGUUCUAUAGGACCUCCAAUAUGUGUUGACUUUGUAGGACACAUGCCUUGACUUACAAGGCAAGUUUUUCUACGUGUGGGCCACAUAGUUAGCUUGAUCUUCAAGCUAACAACAUGUGUGGCACAUGGCCAACUUGUUGACCACGUUUCUAAUCCAAAAAGUCAAUUAAAGACACCUAUGAAGUCAAAGCAGCGUCUAGGAAGUUUCUAGAAAGCUUCUAUAUUAAAUAUUAUAUAAUUAACUUACUUUUAUCUACUUUUACUUACUUCUACCUAUUUCUAUAUGUAAUUAUUAGCUUACAUGAUUAUGGCCGUGACAUUACCCCCCCUUCUAGAGACGAGUUCCACGAGGAGCGGUCAUCAUAUGUUGAGGAAAUCUAUGAUGCGACGAAUUGUAUUCGCCACAUACUCUGAUCUCUGUUCUCUUUGAAGAUGAUUGAUAGGGCCUCUCAACCAUCGGUAGUAUCCCAUACCAGGGCGGGAAGACCACCCAGUUAUUUGAUCAUUAUUGAGGCCUUCAUAACUUCCUUCGAAUAGAAUAUUCGGAACACCAUCAGGAGUUGUUCCUACCUCUAGCAAAAUCACCAAACAUCGGGAGUCCCUUCCCAAAUCAUGAUACCAAACGCGUUGUAUCUCACCAUCUGUUCGAGGAAGAACAUGUCGUUCUUGAAGAUCUUCAUCUCGAUUGCGUCGUCUUGAAGGUUGUGACAAUCGUAAUGUCUCGUCCGGCAGGUCAGCAAACGAAGGUUCUUGAGUUGAAUCCGCUGGUUGUUGGCUCUCCAUCUAAUUAGCAUCACAAAUGUAAAGAAGUUACAAACAAGGAUAGGAAAUUGAAUGUUAUCUUGCCUCAAUCUUGUCUCUUUUAUAAGAGAGAUUUUCAUCUUGGUUUUGAUGGAUGUCGUUGAUGAAAAACUUUGACUUUAGCUGAUGCAUUUGCUAGAUUCCUGGAUGGCUCCCAUGUGCGUUCACUAAUAUCAUAUCCGCGCCAAUGAACAAGAUAUUCCAGCUUAUUUCGGCGCCGCCUUGAGUCUAAUAUCUCUUCCACCUCAAAUUCUUCAUUAUUAUCUACUUCUAUAAGAGGCGGUGGUAUUUGUCUUCUUCCUUGUAUAUCCACUGUCUUAUAUGGUUCAAGAAGAGAUACGUGGAAUACAGGAUGGAUCUUCAUUGACUCCGGUAGAUGUAACCGAUAUGCAACUGGGUUGAUCUGUUCAGAAACAGAAAAGGGGCCAAGCCUACGAUAGUCCAACUUGUCACAAGGUUGAGUAGUCUUGAUAUUGCGACGAAGUAGCCAUACCUUAUCACCCACGUUGAUUUGUGGUUGCUCCUUAUGAUAUAGAUCUACGUUUAUCUUUUGUCGUUCUUGAGCUUCCUUCAAUUGUGUCUUCAUUAUUGCAUGUAACUCUGACAACCGAUUUGCCAUAUCUUCUACUGCAGGAUUAUCAACUUUUGAAAAAUCAAAAGUAUCAAGUCGUGGAUGAUAGCCAUAAUUGGCAAAGAAAGGUGUUUGUUGCGUGGAAGAAUGUACCGUAUUAUUAUAAGCAAACUCUGCCAAUGGCAGAAGGGUUGUCCAAUCAUCUUGUUGGUAGUUGAUAGUACACCUUAAAUAUUGCUCCAAGACUUGGUUUACGCGCUCUGUUUGUCCAUCAGUUUGAGGAUGGAAAGCCGAAGAUAGCUUUAUGUCCACUUUUAAAAUCUUGAAAAGGGUCCUCCAAAAUCUUGACACAAAUUGAGUUCCCCUAUCCGAUAUGAUAUCUUUAGGUAAUCCAUGAUAGCGAUAGAUAUUAUCAAUGAAAAGCUUAGCUGUUUCUUCACCUGUGAUAGAUUUUGUACAUGGCACAAAAUAUGCCAUCUUGGUGAAACGAUCUACUAUCACAAAUAUAGAAUCAUAAGAUCUUGAGCUUGGAAGAUCUGUGAUGAAAUCCAUAGAAACAGAAGACCAUGGUUGUUCUGGUAUAGGUAAUGGCUGAAGAAGUCCGUAAGGUCGAUGACGAGGAAUUUUUGAUCUUGAACAAAUAUCACAUGAUUGUACAAAGUCUUUGACUGACUUCCACAUUUGUGGCCACCAAAAAUCUCUUGAUAUGAGUUCCAAAGUCUUAUUAUAUCCAAAGUGUCCUGCUGCUGGAAAGUCAUGACGUGCUUGAAGAACACGUAAACGUGCUUCUCCUUCUGGAACAUAUAGGCGUCCUUCAAAAUAUAAUAGAUUAUUCUUGAACUCAAACUUAGAAGGAUCAUGAGACUUGGAAGAAUUAUUCUCGAUAUCAUAAAUAAGAGGGUCUGAGGACAUACUGGACUGGAUUUGCUUGAGAAAAGUUGAAUCAACAGUCAAUGUUGAUUUCAUUGCUCGGAGAUGAAAUUGCUCCGGUUUCAAGACGACCGUUCUUUGUUGCUCAAAAGCUGCAUCUCCUUCUUUUGGUGCAAAAUAAGAACGUCUAGAUAAGGCAUCGGAUAAACCUUGUUGUUUUUCUAGCCGAUAAGUGAUAAUGAACUCGAAUCUUGACAAAGACAUACUCCAACGAGCUUGACGACGAUUCAACACGCGUGCUGACAUGAAAUACUCGAGGUUCUUGUGAUCUGUAUACACAGUGACUGGACUAGAAGCGCCUUCUAGAUAAUGACGCCAUUCUUGAAAGGAAUCCACGAUCGCAAGAAGUUCUUUAUCGUGGAUCUCAUAAUUGAUCUCGGCUGCUGAGAAUUUUCUUGAAUGAAAAGCUAUCGGAUGGAGUUUGUCAUCUGUUCCCAUUUGUGAUAAAACUGCACCCAAGGCAAAAUCUGAUGCAUCUGUUUCCAUAAAAAAUGCCUUGGAAAAGUCAACACGAUAUAAGACUGGUGCAGAGACAAACGAUGUCUUCAAGGCUUCAAAUGCUGCUUCCGCUUUUUGAUUCCAUUGAAAUUUAUCUUUACUAGUCAAGCGUGUAAGUGGAGCUGCAACUUGUGAAAAAUCUUUGAUGAAGAUCCGAUAGUAAUUGGCAAAUCUCAAGAAACAUUGGACAUCUCUUAUCGUCCUUGGAAUCUUCCAAUCCACGAUUGUUUGGACUUUCUUAGAAUCCAUCAUGAGACCAUCAUUUGAAAUGAUGUAUCCUAAAAAGUCAACUUGAGUAGUGUGAAAUACACACUUUUCCAUCUUGGCGUACAAUCCUGCAUCUCUAAGUUUUUGUAAUACUUGACGAACAUGUAUUUCAUGUUCUUCGACGUUCUUAGAAUAGAUCAGGAUAUCGUCUAGAUAGCAGACGACAAAAUUGUCUAAGAAUUCACGAAAUACAUCAUUCAUGAGAUGUUGAAAAGCAGCUGGUGCAUUCGUGAGUCCAAAGGGCAUGACAUUAUAUUCGAAAUGUCCAUACCUGGUUCGAAACGCAGUCUUCCAUUCAUCUCCUUCUUUGAUCCGUACUAGAUUAUAUGCUCCUCUUAGAUCUAUUUUUGUAUAGAUCUUAGCUUGAUUUAACUGGUCAAGGAGUCCUGAUAUCAAAGGUAAUGGAUACCUGUUCUUGAUUGUAAUCUUGUUGAGUCCUCGAUAAUCAACACACAUUCGUAAAGAUCCAUCUUUUUUCUUUACGAAUAGAAUUGGAGCUCCUGCUGGAGAUUUUGAAUGGCAUAUGAAAUUCUUCGCUAAAUUCUCGUCAAUAUAUGUCUUGAGUUCAGCCAUCUCAUCUUGCGAUAAACUGUAAAUUGGUCCAAAUGGUGGCUGAGUUCCUUCCUUGAGGUCGAUUGAACAAUCAUAUGGACGAUGCUCAGGAAGAAUAUCUGCAUUCUUUUUCUCAAAAACGUCUUGAUACUCUUGAUAUUGACUUGGAAUGCCACUUGAAGUCUUUACGUUUUCAGAAAUAGGUGCAGCAUAAAUAGCAAAAGUUGAUCCUUCUUUUGCUGCGUGUAUAAAUGCUUUUGCACCUAUCAGUACGGGUUUUACUGUACUAGACUUAUAAUUUUUUACUUGGUUCGUAGAACUAUUAAUAACGCUUUUGGAAAAGUCAAGUUUACGUGAAUUCCAAUCUAUUCGAGGGUUAUAUUUUUCUAGCCAGGAUAAACCUAAAAUAACUAGAUUGGACGGGGAUUUAAUUAUGUUAAACGCUAUGUAGCUAUCAUGACCGUCUAUUGUUACUUUUAUAGGAUGAGUUUCAUGAGUGACAUCUCCAGAAGACAAGGGACGACCAUCUAUGACUUCUACAUGUACUGGUUUAGGUUUCUGUACAUAGGGUAUUUUACGACUUUUAACAAAUUGUUCAUCUAAAAAACAUGCUGAGGCUCCCGAAUCUAAUAAAGCAGAGGCUUUGUAAUUCUUAGGUCCUAAAUAUAAGUCUAUUAUAAAACAAGGAGAGGGUUCUGAGGAGAGGAUAGGACCUUCAUUAGGAAUUGUACAAGGUUCCAGCUGCACGGUCCCUAUUGUAGCUGGACGAAUCCGUUUUCCGACAUGUUGUCUUCUUUGACCGUCGUACCCCUCCUUUUAUAGUUGCGUCGUUUCUUUGGACAAUGUUGAGCAGUGUGCUUAGGUUCUCCGCAAUAUAAACAUAAUCCUUCUUGACGACGAUGAAUCUUUUCUUGCUCAGUUAGAGGUUUAAAACGUACCGCGUCAAUUUGCAUGUCUUCUACUUCCGAAUGUACGUUUGGCAAAGAUGUUGAUGUUGCCAUUGAGUAAUAAAGUUGAGGUUCCCGUGAAUGAUUCUCAGAUCGAAAUUCAAAAAGUCGAUUAUCACAUUUUACCGCAAAAUCGAUUGCUUGACUCAAAGUUUGAGGAUCAGGUAAGUUGAGCAUCAAUUUCUUUACUUCGUAUUGCAAUCCAUAAAGAAAUUGACUGAUGAGUGCAGCAUCAUCCCACUUGAUGUCAAUUGCAUAUUAAAAGGAAACUGGAAUGGCUAUUGCCACAAGACAAGAAACUAAAGACUCUUGAACCUGGACUAGAAGCAAGAAAGGAGUUGACAAGAGUGAAGAAGCCUUCACUCUUGUCUCUAUAUAUACUAUCUAACUAGGGGCUACGUGGCGACGUUCUAUAGGACCUCCAAUAUGUGUUGACUUUGUAGGACACAUGCCUUGACUUACAAGGCAAGUUUUUCUACGUGUGGGCCACAUAGUUAGCUUGAUCUUCAAGCUAACAACAUGUGUGGCACAUGGCCAACUUGUUGACCACGUUUCUAAUCCAAAAAGUCAAUUAAAGACACCUAUGAAGUCAAAGCAGCGUCUAGGAAGUUUCUAGAAAGCUUCUAUAUUAAAUAUUAUAUAAUUAACUUACUUUUAUCUACUUUUACUUACUUCUACCUAUUUCUAUAUGUAAUUAUUAGCUUACAUGAUUAUGGCCGUGACAACUUGAGUAGUAUGAAAUACACACUUUUUCAUCUUGGUGUAUAAUCUUACAUCUCUAAAUUUUUGUAAUAUAUGUUAAAUAUGAAAUUUGGGCUCUUGUAUAUUUUUAGAAUAGAUUAGAAUAUAAUUUAUAUAUAUAUAUAUAUAUAUAUACCAUUCAUUAGAUAUUAAAAAGUACCUAUUGCAUUUGUGAGUAAGAAAAAUAUGACAUUACAUUCAAAAUGUCCAUAUUUUGUUCAAACCAUAGUCUUUUAUUCAUCUCCUUUUUUGAUGUAUACAAAAUUAUAUUUUGUCAUAGAUCUAUUUUUGUAUAGAUCUUCACUUGAUUGAAUUUAUCAAAAAGUCUUGAAAUCAAAGGUGAAGGAUAUUUAUUUUUGAUAGUGAUCUUGUUGAGCUCUCUAUAAUCUAUAUACAUCCAUAAUGAUAUGUCUUUCUACUUCAUAAAUAAGAUAAGAGUUCCUACUUGAGAUUUAAAUUAGUGUAUAAAGUUCUUAGUUAAGUUUUUAUCAAUGUAUUAUUUGAAUGCAAUCAACUUAUUUUGCAAUAAGCUAUAGAUUGAUCCAAAUGAUGGUUAGCUUUUGUCUUAAAGAUCAAUUAGACAAUCAAAUAGAUAAUACUUUAAAAGAAUAUUUGUAUUCUUCUUUUCAAAAAUAUCUUUAUAAUCUUAAUAUUGAUUUAGAAUAUCAAUUAUAGUCUUUCAACCAUCAAAGGCGGAUGUGGCAAAUAUAACUAAAAGUGACCCUUCUUUUAUUGUAUAAACUUAGAAUGUCAAUUUUAAUUUUUUGACCAUCAAAGAUGAAUGUGGUGUAUAGAAUAAAAGAUUUUUUUUUUUUUUUUUUUUUUUUUUUUUUUAAUAACAUGCAUGAAAGCUCUUGCACCUACCAAUAAGGAUUUUAUUGUAUUAAACUAUUAGAUUUUUAUUUGACUUAUAAAAUCUUAGAUUAAAUUAUAGAAAAAUUAAGGUUAUAAGAAAUCUAAUCUAUUUGAAGAUUAUACCUCUCUAGCCAUAAUAAUCCUAAAAUGACUAGGUUGGAGGGAGAUAUAAUCAUAUUAAAUAUUAAUAAGCUAUUAUGACUAUUAAUUGUUAUAUCUAAAAAAACAAUGUUAUAAAUAACAUCUCUAAAAGAUAUUAAACAACCAUCUAUUAUUUCUACAUAUACAGAUUUGAUUUUCUUAACUAAAUUUAUUUCUUAUUUUUUUAUAAAGUCUUUGUUUAUAAAAUAAGCUAAGAUUCCUAUAUCUAAGAAGGCAAAGACUUUGUGAUUUUUUGACCUUAAAUAAAGUUUUAUUAUAAAAUAAGGUGAAAAAUAUUUUUUUAAAAAAUAUACCCUUUAUUAUGUAUCGCAAUGGUCUUGCAAAGUUGAUCCCUCCAUCACCUCAUCCGAUCGAUUUCAUCCACCUCUUGUCUCCUACCUCCACACUAUGUGAAGUACAUUCUAAGCCCUGGCCUCCAAACCUUUGACAAAAAGAGUGGUCAGUUGCAUGGUCCCUAUUGUAGUUGAAAAAAAUUAAAAGAAAUUACUAUAAUUUAACUUAUUCUUCUUCAACUAAAUCUAUGUCUUUAUUAUCUUUCAAAAAGUUAACUUUUGCAUGCAAUGGCUUGAAUAAUAAAUUAUUCUAGUAAGUCUACUUUUGGCAUCAUCAACAGUAAAUCUUUGACAUUAUCUUUUAAUCCAUGUCAAAAUUGAUUGAUAAGAGUCUUGUUAUUUCAAUCCACAUCCAAAGUAAGUUUUAGAAUUCAUUAGAAUUUAUGGUUACUAAAUGUGAUCAUUGUUGUAAAAAUAUAAGUUUAGUCUUGAUAUCUUUUUUUGAUUACUUUCUUCAAAAAUGACCAUAAAUAUAUCUAAAAAUGAAUUCAAAUUAUAAAAAGACGUGAUUUUUUUUUUAUCAAAAGUGCAAGUCAAUAGAGAGCACUCCUAAAGUAAAGUGCAUCUAUGAAUCUAACUUGAGUAAAUCCAUCAAAAUAUUAAAUAAGAUGUAACCUUAGAUAGAACUACAUCCAUUGUAGAAAUCUUCAAAACUUUGAACUUGUUCCAUUGAACUUCUCUAAUAUACUUAUUCUUGUCUCUCUUAUAUUUAUAAUAGCAAGACUUCUUGGAUUUAAAUAUGGACUUGAUCUACUUGCUUUUGUCAAUUACAUAAUUUUUUAAUAUAGACUUUGAACUUCUUUAAUAACUUCUUUUAUAUGCAUUAUAUUAAAAGAUCAAUACAUUCUUGUAUCACUCUAAAAGACUAAAUUUUCACUCAAAGAUGGUAUAAUAUUAAAUUAAAAUUUCUAUUGCUAAAGAUAAAAAAAAACUAAAUUCUCUUAAAACAAGUCUAAAAAUUAGAAAGGCAUUGAUAAGAAUGAAGAGGCUUUAUUCUUGCUUUUAUAUAUACUAUCUAAAUAUGAACUAUAUGGUGCUGUUUUAUAAGACCUCCAACACAUGUCCAACUUGUGAGACAUAUGUUUAAUUUGCAAGAUAAGUUUCAUAUAUGUGUGUCACGUAGUAAGCUUACUCUAUAAGCUACUAACAUUUGCAAUAUGUAGCUAACUUGUUGAUAAAGUUUCUAAUCUACCAAUCAACUACAAAUAUAUCUAAAAUCAAACAUGCAUCUAUAAAACUUCUAAGAAGCUUUGCUAUAAGAUAAUAUGAAAUCUACCUAUAUUUAUCUCCUAUCUAAUACUUCUUAUUUAUGUAAAUUUGUAUGUGUAUGACAAGCUUUUAAGAAGCUAAUCUACAAGAUAUUAUCAAAUUUAAUUAUUUUACUUCCAUCUACUUCCUUGUAUUCUCUUUAAUAUUAAUACCAAAGUUGAUGUCUAUGAUACUUUGUUUGAUGAAGACUAAUAUUUUUUUUAUAAUUUAAUAAAAUUUUAAAUAUUUGACAUUAUCAAUCCAUUUAUGUUAACCAAUAUUACAUCAAAAUAAGUAAUUACCAAGUUUAUUAUAGUAAUAAAGAAAAAAUUAGAAGAAAAAAAAUUAAGUAUUAAAAAGAAUGGUCAAAAAAUAAAUUAAGUUUAUAAUAUAUAGACAGCUAAUAUCUUAUACAAAACUUACAUAUUAUAACCAAAGUCUACAAUCAAUGUAUUAUACUUAAGAAGAUAUAAAAAUCAAUUAGAAUUUCAUCUACUUUAAAAUAAUCUAAGUCGUACUUAACUUAUUAUUUGUUCACUAUAUAUAAGCAAUUGGUUAGAUAAAAUCCAAAGUAUAUCUCAAGACAAGCAUCAACGAACAAUUUAUGAGACUGUUAUGGACAUAUAAUGUUUUUAAAUAAGAAGUAUUAGGUAGAAGAUAAAUAUAGGUAGAUUUGAUAAUAUCUUAUAGAGUAGCUUUGUAGAAGCUUCAAAGAUGUAGAUUUAAUUUUAUAUAUGUUUAUAAUUAAUUGAUAGGAUAUAAACUUGGCAAACAAGUUAGCUAUGUAUUGCACAUUUAAGAAACUUGUCUUGCAAGAUAGAUACGUGUUUUGUAAGUUGAACACAUGUCAAGAUCAUAUGGAAUAUUUUUACUUAGGUUCUAAUUAGAUAGUACAUAUCAAGCUAAGAGUGAAAUUUUUUUUUACUCUUUUCAAUACUUUUUUUAGUCUUUAGUCUUAUCUCAAGAGUCUCUUAUUUUUUUAUAUUUAGUAAUAGUCAUUCUAAUUUAAUAUUAUACCAGCUUUUAGAAAAUUUCUAUUUUUUUCUAUUCACUUAAGAAUAUAUUGAUUCUUUCAUUUUUUGUGAUUCAUGUCCUUGACAUUUUGACAAAAGUAUUAAUUCAUUAUUCUUAUAUUGGUUUAGAAGUGAAUAGAUUAUUUUACGUUUUUUCAUUUAAAGAUUAUAAUAGUUAUUAUACUUUUAGAUAGAAGAUUAUAGUAAUUAUAAUAAAGAUUCUAUGAUUGGAAUCUUAUACAAUACCUAAUAAAGAUUAUAUAUUUAUUUUUUAAUCUUUCAUCCUAUUUUAUAAUAGAUACUUUUUUAGAACCAAAAAAUUACAAAAUCUUUGCUUUGUUAGAUUCAAGAGCCUUAGCUUGUUUUAUAGACAAAUUCUUUAUUAAAAAAUAAGAAAUAUCUUUAGACAAAAGAACUAAGCCAAUAAUUGUAAUAAUUAUAGAUAAUUUUACAUUAUCUUUUAAAGAUAUUAUCUAUAAAACUCUUACUUUGGAUAGAGCAACUAACAACCAUAACAACUUAAUAAUAUUCAAUGUGAUUAAAUCUUCCUCCAAACCAAUUGUUUUAGAUUUAUCAUAAUUAAAGAAGUAUAAUUUCUAAAUAAAUAAGUUUUUUCUUAAUCUUGGUUUUUUUUGUAGCAUAAUUUAAAAAUCUAUUAUAUAAGUAGAAAGUUAUAAAUCUAAUAUAACCAAACUUUUAUUAGUAGAUAUAAGAACUUUCAUGCAUGAUACAAAAAAUAUAUCAUUUUUUUUAUUUAUGCUAUAUUUAUUUUUAACUUAUUAAUAAAAGGAAAAUAAUGGAUCUUUAUAGAUGUACGUAGACUAUUAAGGACUUAACAAGAUCACUAUCAAGAAUAGAUACCUUUUAUCUUUGAUUUUAGGACUUCUUGACCAAUUCAAUGAAGUAAAGAUAUGUACAAAAAUAGAUCUAUGAAGAACAUACAAUGUGAUUUGCAUUAAAAAAAGAAAUGAAUAGAAGGUUGAUUUUUAAACUAGGUAUGGAUAUUUUGAAUAUAAUAUCAUGCCUUUUAGAUUAAUAAAUGCACAAGUUACUUUUCAAUAUCUUAUGAAUGAUGUUUUUUAUAAGUUUUUAGAUGAUUUUUUUAUCUAUUAUUUAAAUGACAUUCUAAUCUAUUCUAAAAACAUAGAAGAACAUGAAUUUCAUAUUUGUCGUGUACUACAAAAACUUAGAGAUGUAAGAUUGUAUGCUAAGAUGAAAAAAGUGUGCAUUCUAUAUUAUUUAAGUUGACUUUCUAGAAUACAUCAUUUUUAAUGAAGGCUUAAUGAUGGAUCCUAAGAAGCUCCAGACUAUCAUGGAUUAGAAGAUUUUAAGAAUAAUAAGAGAUGCACAAUAAUUUUUAAACUUUAUCAAUUAUUAAUAGAUCUUUAUUAAGAUUUUUUUCAAGUUUUAGCUCUACUUAUAUAUUUGACUUAAAAAAAACAAAUUUAAGUGGAAUAAAGAAGCCAAAGUAUUGUUUGAUGCUUUAAAGAAUGAAUUUAUUUUUGCACCUAUCUUGUAUUAAGUUGACUUUUUCAAGGCAUUUUUAAUGAAAAUAGACUCAUCAAAUUUCGCCUUAGAUGCAAUAUUAUCUAAAAUAAGAAUAAAAUACAAACUUCAUCUAAUCCCUUUUUAUUUCAAAAAAAUUUCAAUAGUAGAAAUCAACUAUGAAAUCUACAAUAAAAAGCUUCUUGCAAUAGUAGAUUCUUUUUAAGAAUGGCAUCACUAUCUAAAAAGCACUUCUAUUUUAUUCAUUGUAUAUAAAAAUUACAAGAACUUUAAAUAUUUUAUGUCAACAUGUGUAUUAAAUUGUUGAUAAGCUUGUUGGAGCAUAUCAUUAUUAAGAUUUGAUUUUAAGAUCACAUAUUGACUUAAAAAACAACAAGGUUUGUCAAAAAUCCUUUCUAGAUGUUCUUAUCUUAUACCAAAAGAAGAAAAUGUAACUUUUGUCUAAUAAAAAAUAAUUGACUUGAAGCAUAAAAAAUUUCAUCUUCAAGCAAUAAAAUCAACAUUGAUUAUUGAUUCAACCUUUGUCAAAAAAAUUCAAUCAAGUAUGCUCUAUGAUCCUCUUAUUCAUAAUGUAUUAAAAAUACUUCUUUGAAGUCUCAUGAUACUUUUAAGUUUAAGUUCAAGAAUAACCUAUUCUAUUUCAAAUAUUACCUAUAUUUUCUAAAAAUAGAAGCAUAUUUACAUGUUCUUCAAACACAUCAUGACUUUCUAGUAGCAAGAUAUUUUAGAUAUAACAAGAUUUUGGAGCUUAUAUUCAAAGAUAUUUGGUGGAUGAAAAUAUAAAAGGCUAUGAAAGACUUUGUAUGAUUAUGUGACAUUUGUUUAAAGUAAAAAACUCCUUGUCAUUGAUCAUAUGGAUUUUUUCAACUAUUACCUAUAUGAUUCUAUAUUCAUGAUCAUAGAUUAUUUCACCAAAAUGACAUAUUUCAUAUUACAUACAAAAUCUAUUUCUUGUAAAGAAAUAGCUAAUUUUUUCUUUGACAAUAUUUAUCACAAUCAUGGAUUGCCAAAAGAUAUUAUAUCAAAUAAAAUGACACAAUUUAUAUGAAGAUUUAUUUAUUUAUUUAUUUAUUUUUAUAAUAUUAAAGGUAGAUAUAAAAUUAUCUUUGGCCUUCCAUCCUCAAAUUAAUGAACAGACAAAAUGGGUGAAUCAAGAUUAAAAUAGUAUUUGAGGUGUAGCAUCAACUAUCAUAAAAACAAUUGAAUAAUUUUUUUGCUAUUGGCAAAGUUUGCAUAUAAUAAUUUGGUAUAUUCUUAUAUUCAAUCAAUACCUUUUUUUUACUAAUUAUGGUUACUAUCUAUGACUUAAUACUUUUAACUUUUCAAAAUUUGAUAAUUCUAUGAUAAAAGAUUUAAUAAAUUAUUUACAGGGCUACUUACAACAAUGAAAGCAUAUUUAAAGGAAGCUAAAAAAUAAAAAAAAAUCAAUACAGAUACCUAUUGUAAGGAACAACUAAAAUUUAAAGUCAAUGAUAAGAUAUGAUUAUUUUAUUAUAAUAUUAAGACUAUUUGUUUUUGUAACAAGUUAGACUAUUGUAAGUUUACACCUUUUUUAUUUGUGAAUAAAUCAAUCUAAUUGCUUAUUGAUUAUAUCUACUAGAAUCAAUGAAGAUCUAUCUUGUAUUUCACAUGUCUCUUUUUCAACCAUACAAGAUAAUAAACAUACUAAGAAGAAGACAAGUGCCACCUCUUUCUAUAAAAAUAGAAAAUAAUAAAGAAUUUGAAAUGGACAAAGUCUUAGAUUCAAAGUGGCACCAAAAUAGGUUAGAAUAUCUUAUUCAUUAGCAUAGAUAUGAUAUUAAUAAAUCUACAUAGAAACUAGCAAAGAAUCUUACAAAUACAACAAAGAAGGUUGAUGUUUUUCAUUAAUGACAUCUAUCAAAAUUAAGAUGGAAAAUAAAUCAAUUCUUUACAAUAAAAGAAACAAAGAUUGAUAAAAAUUACAUUUUAUGAUAAUUUAAAGUUUUUUAUAUUCUUGUCGUUGAAGAUGAAAAAUCAACAACUCACAUACUCAAUUUAGGAGCUAUUACUUGUUAACAUCAUCUUUGAUUUUAUCAACAUAUGAUGAUUUUUUUUAUAGAACCUAUCCUUGAAAAAAAAAAUAAUGUCAUGGAGAAAUAUGUUUAUUUUAAUAAUUAUCUAUAUAAUAAAAUAGAAGUAAAUAAAAAUAGAUUAAUUUCAUAAUAUCUUUUAGAAUAGCAUUUUAAAAGCUUUAUAGAUAUGGCUUUUAUUUUACAUGUUUUUGUAAUUAACUAAUAGGUUAGAAACUUCGUCAACAAGUUACUUACAUGUCACAUGUAUUAGUAGCUUGUGGAACAAACCAACUAUGUGACACACAUGUAAAAAACUUGUCUUGCAAGUUAAGAUAUGUAUCUUAUAAAGUCAGUUUAUAUUAGAGGUCUCAUAGAACAUUGUCAUAUAAUUCUUAAAUAGAUAAUAUAUAUAGAGGCAAGAAUGAAGCCUUCUUCACUCUUAUCCACUCCUUUCUUAUUUCUAAUUUAGUUUCAAAAUUCUCUAGAUUUUUAGUCUUUGCCAUUAGCCAUUCCAAUUCCUUCUUGAAUAUAUAUAUACUUUCUUACUAUCAUUUUUUCAUCUUUCUUUGAUACUUAUUUCAUUUAUUUAUAUAUCAUUUGUUGGAUUCUUAUUCUUGAUACUCUUGCUUCUAUAUAUACUAUUUAAUUAGAAGCUAUAUAGUGACAUUGUUAUAUUGAAAUAUAACUAUAUGGUAAAAAUAUGAACAAAAAUAAUAUUAUGAUUCAAAUUCUAUCAUCUUUGUUCAAUAGUAAUUCUAGACAUUUAAACAAGGCUUUUAUGAAAGCCUCUUAGUUUAUUUUCUUGUUUUAAUAGCUAAUAGAUUAAAGAUUGAUUAGCAGAUUUACCUUCUAGGUUAUAAAAAAUUCUUCUAAUACCAUAAAAAAGUCAUAAAUCAAUAAAAAUAAAAUAGAUUAAAUAAAUAUUUAGUACGGUCAAUUCUAAGAUAAAAUUAAGGAUAAGAUCAUACUAAAAAUUUCUUAGAAAGGUUGAAUUGAUACUCAAGGGAUGACCAUUUUUUAGUCAAGAUUAAAGACAAACCUCUAGCCAUUAAAAUGGUUACUUAGGACAAAAUAAAAGAGAUUUUUAGAAAUCAAGGAGUUAAAUCAAGAACUAGCUUUAAGUUUGUUCUAGAAUUUUAAAGCUUAUUUUCAAAGAUUUUCAGAUGAUUUGCAAUCAUUGUGCAAAAUCAAGGUUUGUAUUAGUGACUUUGAAUUUAUGCAAUAAAAUUAUAGCUAUCACUAUCGCCUGGUUUGUAAGAUGCAUACAAUAUCUAUAAUUCAAAUUUUAUCAAUAUAUAGUUGAAUAGAUAAGUCAAUUUUUUAUAAUUUUUUUUAUUAUUUUAAUAGUAUAAAUAGAAGAUAUUUAAUCAUUAAUACAAUGAAGUAUUAAAAGUUGGUAGUUAAACGUUAUAGAGGAUUUUUGCAAUAUCUAAAGAUCUACUUGUUGGAACACAGAAAAAUUUGACAUGGUUUCAAUAGGCUAACAUAUCAAACUACAUACCAAUUUUAAAUUAAAUUUAAUCAUUGAAGAAAGAAAAUUUAUUGCUCAAACUUCGUUAUCAACCUUCAAGUCAGCAACCAAGGGACAUCAAUAUGGUUCUUUUACAUUUUUUUCAUAAUUUUUAAGUUGUAUUGGCCUAAAAAUGUUUACGAAUAUUGAAGUUAUAUUGUUUCACUAUUAUACAAAAUUUUGAACUAAUUGGAUGAUUAGAUUAAGAAUUAUAGUUAGUUGAAGUUUGCUACCUAGAGUUAGGAUUUAGAGAGAAAAUUAGAAGUUUCAAAAAAAGAUAAAUAAUAAAAUAAUUAAGAUUUUUAUUUGCUUGAGAUAAUAAAAAAGAUUAUUUUUUAGCACUUUGCAUUGGCUUUAAAUCCUUUUGCAUUAGAAUUCAAAGUAUUUUUUUCUUAAUAAUUGAAACCUAUUAAAAUUUCUUAGAUAAUUGUAAUACAUGAUUUCAUCUUUUAUAACUAAGAGACUAGUGCCUUUCCAAGUAAGAAGACACCUAAUACAAAAUCAUUCUAUAGGACUUCCAACAUGUGUCCAAAUUAUAAGACUUAUAUCUUUACUUGCAAGAUAAGUUUUUUAUAUAUGUGCUAUAUAAUUAAUUUGUUUUACAAGCUAUCAAUACAUAUGACACAUUGCUAAUUUAUUUACUAGGUUUCUAAAUCAACUACAAACACGUAUAAAUUCAAAGUUGUAUUUGUGAAGCUUCUAAAAAGCUUUUCUAUAAAAUAUUGUUUAAUUAACAUAUUUUUAUCUACUUCUAUUUAAUUAUAUAAAUAAUUAUUGGAAUAAAUAUGUAUGUUUGUAACAUUACUUCUCCUCCUUUCUAGGAGCAAAUUCCACAAGAAGAAAUAAUUAUAUGUUGAUAAAAUCCAAAAUUAGAUAAAACAUAUUUAUCACAUAUUUUGAUCUUUGUUUCUUUUUAAGGUAGUUAAUAAGUCUUCUUAGCCAUCACUGAUGCUUUAUUUUAGGGCAAGAAGACUACCCUCUAAUUUGAUUGUUAUUAAUACCUUCUUAGCUUCUUUCAAAUAAUAUAUUUAUAAGAUCAUUAAGAAUCAUCUCUACUUUCAAUAAAAUCACCAAACAUUGGGAGGCUCUUCUUAGGUUGUGAUAUCAAACAUUUAUAUCUUGCCAUUUAUUUAAGGAAAAAUAUGUUGUUCUUGAAGAUCUUUAUUUUGAUUAUAUCAUGUUAAAGGUUGUGAAGAUCACAAUAUAUUGUCUAAUAAGUCAGCAAACAUUAGCUCUUGUACUAAAUUUGCUAAUUAUUGAUACUCUAUUUUUUUAGUGCCAUAAAUAAAUAGAUAUUACAAAUAAAAAUAGAAGAUAGAAUAUUAUCUUUUUUGAAUCUUAUUUAUUUUAUAGCAAAGAUUUGUUAUUAUUUAUCUUGAUUUUAAUGGAUGUCAUUGAUGAAAAGCAUCAAUCUUUUUUGUUGUAUUUGUAAGAUUCUUUAUUGAUUGCUAAGUAUAUUUAUUAAUAUCAUAUCCAUACUAAUUAAUAAAAUAUUUCAACCUAUUUUGGCACUACCUUGAAUCUAAAACUUCUUCUAUCUUAAGUUCUUCAUUAUUAUUCACUUCUAUAGGAAGGGGUGGUAUUUGUCUUUUUUUUGAGAUAUUCAUAGUCUUAUAUGGUUCAAAAAAAAUGUGGAAUACUGAAUAGAUCUUUAUAGAUUUUUGUAGAUAUAAUUAAUAAAAAAUAAGAUUGAUUUAUUUACAAAUAAAAAAUGGUCCAAGCUUACAAUAAUCCAAGUUAUCACAAGAGCGGCGUGAGUCAUGAAUUCGACUCACUAAUUAUUUUAGGAAAAAAAUGCAUUUAGAGUGCUUAAAAUUACAAUAUAUGGUGAGUAGUAUAGAAAUUCUUAAACAAAUAGAAAAUUAAAAAUGUAAGUUAUAAAAAUGGAGUCUUAAUAAGUCUUAGAAACAAUGAUUUUAGUUGAUUUAGUAUUUUUAUUUAUUAUUGAGUAUUAAAGAUUAUUUAUAAAGAUCAAUAUUAAUAUUUGGCCUUCUAUCUAUAUGUAUUACUUAUAAAAAAAACUAUAAAUAUUAGUUAGUAGUUAGAAGAAGUACAAAAAAGAACCUCAUAACUUUUUAAUUAAUUAUAUAAAAAGUAUAAUCUUUAGUAGAUUUAAAUUGAUUUUAUUACUAUAAAAAAAUAUCAAGAUAAAAAUUUAUACCUUUAAAUUGAUAUUAGCAUUAUAAAAUUAUUUUAAGAAUUUUAAAUUUUUAUUUAGAAUUUAUUUGAAAAAUUUAGAGUAAUUUUUAAGACUUUGGUAAAAAUAAAUUUUAUUACUUUAGAAGCCAUUGUGAAGAAAUGGAACAAGAAUUGAAGGCCACACAAGAUUUUUAGGUUAAUUGGAUAUUUUUGAAUACCAUGGUGAAGUCAAAAAUCCAAAAAUAUUGGAUCUACUAAUAGAAAAUAGAAGGACCAAUAGCUAAUAUAGUCCUUCUAAAAAAGAAUGUGCACAAAUCUCAUAUGGAUUGUAGCACCUUGAAGGUAGUUAAGAGGAUAAGACUAAGGCCUUGUGGCCUCUCUGAAGGACCCAUAUACACUACUUAUGAGCCUUGGUAAGGCUCGAACUCUUAAUCUCUUAAUCAAGUUACUCUUGAGAUAAAAAUUAUUUAUUUAAUUAUUUAUUAUUUAUUUUUAUCUUUAAUCUAUCAUAAAUUACUCAUAUUGACUUGCAUUUAUAUAUUUUUUAUGCCAUUGAAAAUAUAAAAAGAUUAUCUAUCUAAAAAUAUUUUUACUUUUUAUUUUUAUUUUUAUUACUAGAUAAAAAUCUAAUAAUCACAUUAUGACUAAUUUUAUAGUAUAUAAUUUUUUGAUUGCACUUAUUUUACUUAUUUUGUAUUAUUAUUCUUUUGUUCUUGUUCUUGCUACUUCCACUUCAUACCACCAAUUAUAAGCAACUUUUAAUUGACGUCAUCUUAUAAUUUGGAUUGAAAAAUAAAAUUUACUUUCACAAGCAAAUGAUCUUGAUAUUGCAACAAAAUAAUCAUAUCUUACUCUUAACAUAGAAUUGAAGUUGUUCCUUGCAAUAGGCAUCCAUGUUUUUCUUUUUUUUAUUCUUAAGCUUCUUUUAAUUAUGCCUUCAUUAUUGUAUGGAGCUCAGAUAAAUAAUUUGCCAAAUCUUUUGCCUCAUAAUUAUCAAAUUUUUAAAGAUCAAAAGCAUCAAUUUAUAGAUAAUAACCAUAAUUAGUAAAAAAAAGAUAUUUUUUGAAUAAAAAAACAUAUCAUGUUUAUUUAAGCAAACUCUACCAAUAACAAAAGAAUUAUUCAAUCAAUUUGUUGGCCAUUGAUAGUAUAUCUCAAAUAUUGCUCCAAAACUUAGUUUAUGUAUGUCAUUUUUUCAUAGAUUUGAUGAUGAAAAGCUAAAAAGAAUUUUUUAUCUACCUUUAUAAUCUUAAAAAAUAUUUUCUAAAAUCUUGAUACAAAUUGAGUGCUCCUAUCCAAAAUAAUAUUUUUGCAUAGUCCAUGAUAGUGAUAGAUAUUGUCAAGAAAAAACUUAGCCAUUUCUUUUCUUGUGAUGGAUUUUGUACAUGGUACAGAUUGUGCCAUUUUGAUAAAAAAAAAAAAAUCUACUAUCACAAAUAUAAAAUCAUUCAAACUUGAAAAUAAAAGAUACAUGAUAAAAUUUGUAGAAACAAAAGAUCAAAGUUGUUUCAAAAUAGGUAAUUGCAAAAAAAGUUCUUAAGGUCCAUGACAAGAAGUUUUUGAUCUUGAACAAACAUCAUAUGAUUACACAAAGUCUUUGACUACCUUCUAUAUUUGAAACCACCAAAAAUAUAUAGAUAUUAAUUCUAAAGUCUUAUUAUAUCCAAAAUAUCUAGUUGUUAAAAAGUAGUGAUAAACUUGAAAAGCACGUAAUUGUACUUUGUUUUUUUGGAUGUAUUAUUAUUUUUCAAAAUAGAAUAGAUUAUUUUUAAAUUUGAACUUAAAAGUAUUAUAAGACUUUGAAGAAUUAUUCUUAAUAUUAUAAACAAGAAGAUUAAAUGACAUACUUAAUUAAACUUGCUUGAAAAAAGGUUGAAUCAAUAAUCAAUUUGAAUUUCAUUUUUUGAAGAUGAAAAUGCUUUGGCUUCAAGAGAAUUUUUUUUAUUGAUUAAAAGCCUCAUUUAUUUCUUUUGGUGGAAGAUAAGAAUAUCUAAAAAAGGCAUUUGAUAAACCUUAUUUUUUGAUGUUAUAUAGUAAUAUGAUCAUUAGGUAAAAGAAAAAAGAAAUUAUUUUAUUAUAAAAGAACCUAAUUAAAAGAUAUAAUAAAAAACCAUAAAAUCUUAUCGUAUUAGAACUACCUUUAAUGAAAAUAGAUUCUAAUUACUUUUUACGACCAUAAAUAAUAUAAUAUAAGAUAGAUAAAAUUGAAUGAGCUCAAAUUAUUAAAUUAUCUAUCUUAUAUUAUAUUAUAUUAUAUUAUAUUAUCGUAUUAUGAAUUUGAGCUCAUUCAAUUAAUAUAUAUUAUAUUAUAUUAUAUUAUCUAUCUUAUAUUAUAUUAUAUUAAAUUAUCUAUCUUAUAUUAUAUUAUAUUAUAUUAUAUUAUUUGAGCUCAAAUUAUCUAUCUUAUCUUAUAUUAUCUUAUCGUAUUAUGAAUUUGAGCUCAUUCAAUUGGUUAAGUUAAAGAUUAUUGAAGUUCAAGUGGAUUAUAGUCUCAAAAAUUGGAGUUAGAAGAUUAGUGGGAUUUUUAGGAUCUUUAGUAAUUUACCAAUUUAAUUGAAAUGCUAAUUAUUUAUAUAUAUAGUAGACUUGAUUUCUAAAAUUUAUGUGAAUUUAAGAAGGAGAUAUUUAUGCUAGAAGCUCAGCAUCAAGGUUGGAGAAAGAAGAUACUUAAGACUUGAAUGGAUUAUCUUACAUUUCUCUCAAUUGAUAAGUACAAUUGAUCUCAUUUUUCUUGUGCUUGUGUUCAAUUGAAUUAUUGAGAAGUAUGAAAAAUUGGAGUUGAUAUCAAUGGUUUAAUUAUUAAUUUUUAAGAUUUCAAUCUACUGUAGGAUUUGUAAAGAAUUUAGUUAGGCUUUAUUAAGUUUUGAUCUAGGAUUUUAUUAAGAUUUAGUUAGCAUUUUAUUAGAAUUAAACUUGAAUUUAAUUAAGAUUUUGUUAGGAUUUGGUUAAAAUUUAUUUAAUAUUUUAUUAGAAUUUGAUUAAAAUUUGGUUAAAAUUGAUUUAAGAUUUUAUUAGAAUUUUGUUAAGAUUUGUUGGCGAUUAUAUUAAGAUUUAGUUAUGAUUCAAUUAAGAUUUUUAUUUUUAAUAUUUUUUUAAUAUUACUUUGAUGCUUUUUAUUAUUUUUAUUAUAUAUAAUAUUUUAAAAUUAAUUUAUUAUUUUUUAUAUUUCUUUUGUUAGUCUUCAAGAUUCUUUUAAAUUUUAAUUUAAAUUUGAUUAAUAUUUUUUAAAUUUAAUUAGAGUUUAUUUAAAAUUCUUUAAGAAUUGUUAGGACCUUUUUAUUGCAAGUUUUAUUUUACUUUCUGUAGCCAAGUAUCUGAUGCAUUUUCAAGCAAACUUCACAAAAUAUAACAUCAAGUCAAUAAAUGAUCUUGAAAUCAAAUUUUGAUAAGAUUUUACUUUAACAAGCUUAUUAAUGAUUUAAAAUACAUAGCAAUAUGAAAUAUUCAAUGUUCUUAUGAUUUAUAUAUACAAUGAUUAGAUUAAAAGUGUCUUCUAGAUAAUAAUAUCAUUCUUAAAAUGAAUCUACAAUUGCAAGAAGUUUUUUGUUGUGGAUCUCAUAGUUGAACUUGACUACUAAAAAUCUCAUUACAUGAAAAGCUACCAAGUAGAACUUAUCAUCUACUCCCGUUUAUGACAAAAUAAUACCUAUAGCAAAGUUUAAUGCAUCUAUUUUAUAAAAAAUCCCUUAAAAAAAUUAAUGCAAUACAAGAUUGGCGUAAAAAUAAAUGUUGUCUUCAAGGCUUUAAAAGAUGCUUCAGCUUCUUUGCUCCAUUAAAUUUUAUUUUUAUAUUAUAGACAUAUAAGAAGAAUCAUAAUUUUUUUAAAAAUUUAAUAAAGAUCUAAUAAUAGUUGAAAAAUUCUAAAAAAUAUGAUUAUCUUUUACUAUUUUUGAAAUCUUUCAAUCUGUGAUAGUUUAAAUCUUCUUUGAAUCCAUCAUAAGGUCAUCAUUUGAAAUGAUGUAUUUUAAGAAAUCAACUUAAAUUAUGUAAAAUACUCAUUUUUUUCAUCUUAGCAUACAAUCCCAUAUCUUUUAGUUUUUGUAAUAAAUAACAAAUUUAAAGUUUUUGCUCUUUAAUAUUCUUAGAAUAGAUUAAAAUGUCGUCAAGAUAAUGGACAAUAAAAUCAUCAAAAAAAUCACAAAAGACAUGAUUUAUUAGAUGUUGAAAAGCAAUUAGUACAUUUUUAAGUCCAAAUAGCAUGACAUUAUAUUUAAAAUGCUCACAUCUCAUUCAUAAUGUAAUUUUUCACUUAUUUCUUUAUUUCACUGAUGUAUACCAAGUUGUAUGUUCUUUGUAGAACUAUUUUUUUAUAGAUCUUUGCUUCAUUGUCUUGAUCAAGAAGUCCUAAAAUCAAAGAUAGAAGAUAUCUAUUCUUGAUGGUGAUCUCAUUAAGUCCUCAAUAGUUCACACAUAAGUGCAAAAAUCUAUUUUUUUUUCUUCACAUAUAACAUGAAAGUCCUUAUUGGAGAUUUAGAAUGGCAUAUGAAGUUCUUACCUAAAUUCUUGUCAAUUUAUUCUUUAAAUACAGCCAAUUCAUUCUAUGAUAGGCUACAAAUUGAUCUAAAUGAUGCUUUAAUUCCUUCUUAAAGUUCAAUGGAAUAAUCACAGAAAUAAUGCUCUACAAAAUAUAUACAUUUUUUUUCUUAAAAACGUCUUGAUAAACUUAAUAUUAGCUUGAAAUGUCACUUGAUAUUUUUUUUUUCUAUUGAGAAUAGAUGAGGCAUAUAUAGCAAAAAUUGACCCUUCUUUUAUAGCAUGCAUGAAAGCUCUCACACCUAUUAAUAAGGAUUUGGAUAUAUCAGACUUAUGGAUUUUUACUUGACUAGAAAAAUCUUGGACUAAAUUAUAGAAGAAAUCAAGGUCAUAAGAAAUCUAGUCAAUUUAAAGAUUAUAUUUUUUUAAUCAAGAUAAUUCUAAAAUAAUUAGGUUAGAAGGAAAUCUAAUCUUAUUAAAUAUUAUUAAACUAUUAUGACCACUAGUUGUUAUAUUAUAAGGAACAAUUUUAUAGAUAGCAUUUCUAAAAGACAACAAAUGACCAUCUAUUAUUUUUACAUAUAUAGGUUUGGUUUUUUUAAUUAAAAAUAUUUCAUAUUUUUUAACAAAGUCUUUAUUUAUAAAACAAGCUAAAGCUCCCAAAUCUAAUAAGGCUAAGACUUUUUGAUAUGUUGGUGUCACAAACAUACACAUAUAAGCUAGUAAUUACCUAUAUAAAUAGGUAAAUAGAAGUAGUUAAAAGUAAGUUAAUUCUAUAAUAUCUUCUAUGAAAGCUUGUUAGAAGCUUUAUAGAUGUUGCUUUGACUUUAAAGGUAUAUUUAAUUGACUUUUUGGACUAAAAACGUGGUCAACAAAUUGGCCAUGUGCCACAUAUGUUAGCUUGAAGAUCAAGCUAACUAUGUGGCCCACACAUAAAAAAACUUGCCUUAUAAGUCAAGGCAUGUGUCCUACAAAGUCAACACAUAUUGAAGGUCCUAUAGAAUAUCACCACGUAGUUCCUAAUUAGAUAGUAUAUAAAAAGACAAGAGUGAAGCCCUCUUCACUCUUGUCAAUUCUUUUCUUUCUUCUAGUCUAGUUUCAAGAGUCUCAAGUUUUCUUAUCUUUUAGUAAUAAGUCUUUCCAGUUUUUUUUAAUAUACGUACUUCUUUAUUUCUAUUUUGUCACUCUUUCUUUGACAUGGAUUUCAUUAUUUAUGCAUCAUCUUUUAGUUCAUAUCCUUGACAGAUUGACAAAAGUGCACUUAUAGUAUCAGAGCUUUGUCUUGUUUUGAUUAAAAGUCGAUUACUUCUUUUUCAUGAUAAGACAUAAGUAUAUUAGAAGUUAUGGAUUACCCUCUUCUAAAUUGAUAUUAUUCUUAGUAUUUUCUUUAUCCUCAAGUCCUUUCUUCUAUUUGUCUUGAGUGGUAUUAGAUAUUUUUCUGAGUGUUAUUAUGGUAGAGCUUCUCGAAACGAAGAGUGCAAUGAUACAAAUGUAAGAACAAUUGAGGGAGUUGAUGCUUGCGAUGCAUCAAUUUAGCUUACUACUAUAAGGAUCAACAAGAAUGGCAAGAAGUGGGGAUAUAGAGAUGAUUAGAGUUGCUUCAACAUCUACACCAAAUCAUGUCCCUCUAUCCAUGGUGGAACAUCUUUUAAGUAUUAAAGAACUAAGAGUUACCCUGCUCGAGAAGUUUGGUGGUAUAAAAUCCAAAUUUCAAAGAUUUAUUAAUCAAGUACAACUUGUGAUUGAACUCCAACCUCAAAGCUAUCCAACUCUUAGAUCACAAGUUAGAUUUAUGUCAAGUUCAGCACUAUCAUGGUUUUCAUCUUUUCUUGAAUGACAAGCUCCAAUAUUGGAUAAUAUAGAGGUAUUUUUGGUGGAAUUUUGGUCCAUGUAUGGAGAAUAUGAUGCAACUCGUAUUACAACCAAAAAGAUCCAUAUUUUGUGACAAAGCAAUCGAUUUGUAACGUUAUAUGCUUCACAAUUUUGACAACUUAUAAUUGAUAUCAAGUGGGAUGAUGCUGCACUUAUUAGCCAAUUUCUCUAUGGAUUACAAUAUGAAGUAAAAAAAUUCAUCCUGAACUUCCUUGAUUCUCAAACAUUGAGUCAUGCAAUUGUGUUUGCUGUGAAAUGUGACAAUUGAUUUUUUGAAUUUUGAUCUGAGAGUCAUACAAAUAUGCCUCAACGUUACUAAAAUUUGAUGGCAAAACUAACAUCUCAUCAACACAUACAUUCAAAAGCAAAGGAUAUGCAAAUUGACGCGGUAUGUUUUAAACAUCUUAUCAAGUAAGAAAAGACUCGUCGCCGUCAAGAAGGAUUGUACUUAUAUUGUGAAGAAUCUAAACACAUUACUCAACAUUGUCCAAAGAAGCAAAAAAAUCACAAAAUGAGGAGUUCAUCUGUCAAAGAAGAUAAUGUGUCGGAAAAUGAAUUUGUCCAAUUACAAUAGGGACUGUGUAGCUGGAAUCUUAUAUAAUUUCUAAUGAAGGUCCUAUCCUCUCCUCAAAACCCUCUCUUUGUUUUAUAAUAGAUGUGCGUUUAAGACCUAAUAAUUAUAAAGCCUUCUUCUUGAUAAAUUCAGGAGCCUCAGCUUGUUUUUUAGAUGUAGAAUUUAUUAAAAAUCAUAAAAUAUCAUCAGUACAAAAAAUCAAACGUGUUCAUAUAGAAGUCAUAGAUGGUCGUCCAUUGUCUUCUGGAGAUAUUACUCAUAAAAUACUUUCUAUAGAUGUAGCAAUAAAUGGUCUUAGUAGUUGCAUAAUCUUUAAUAUAAUUAGAUCUCCCUCUCAUCCAAUCAUUUUAGAUUUAUCAUAAUUAGAAAAGUAUAAUCCUUGCAUAGAUUGGAUUUCUCAUAUCCUUGAUUUUUCUAAAAGCAUAAAUAAGAGUGAAAUUAAUCCAAUAGAAAGUCAUAAGUCUAGUACAAUUAAACCUAUGUUUGUAGAUGCAAGAGCUUUCUUACAUGCUACAAAAGAAGGACCACCUUGUGUCAUUUAUACUACACCUGUUUCAAAAAAUAUUUCUUCUACUCAAAAAAGUAUUUGAGCAAAAAAAGUAUCUGAACAACCUUGGUUUUUGAGUAGAAGAAUGUAUCAUAUUAUUAUAACCAAACUUUAUCAAUGGCAAAAGAGUUCUUUAAUCAUCUUGAUGUUAAUUGAUGGUACAGCUCAAAUAUUGCUUCAAAACUUCUUCAAUUUGUUCUAUUUAUCUAAAAAUUUGAAGAUAUAAAGUCAAAGAUAGUUUUGUAUCUAUUUUUAAUAUCUUAAAAAUGAAUCUCUAAAAUCUUAAUAUAAAUUGAAUUUUUCUAUCCAAUAUAAUAUCUUUUAAUAAUUAAUGAUAGCAAUAAAUGUUGUGAAAGAAAAAUUUAGAUGUUUCUUUAUUUAUGAUAGUUUUUGCAGAUAACAUAAAAUGUGCCAUCUUGGUGAUAGAAUCUACUAUCACAAAUAUAAAAUUGUAAGAACUUGAAGUAGAAAGAUCCAUGGUAAAAUCUAUAGAAACAAAAAACCAAGGUUCUUCAGAUAUAGAUCAUAAUUAAAGAAAUCCAUAAGAUUGGUGAUGAGCAGUUUUUGAUUUUGAACAAACAUCAUAAGAUUGUACAAAGUCUUCGACUGCCUUCCACACAUGAGGCUACUAAAAAUCUCUUAAUAUAAAUUCUAAAGUCAUAUUUUAUCUAAAAUGUCAUAUAAUUGGAAAGUCUUUACAAGCUUAAAGAGCAUGUAAUUGAGCUUCAAUAUUUGGAUGUCACGGACAUAUAUAUUUAUUCCAAUAAUUAUUUAUAUGAUUCAAUAGAAGUAAAUAAACAUAUAUUAAUUGAUAAAUAUUUUGUGGAAAAGCUUUCUAGAAGCUUCAUAAAUAUGACUUUGACUUUAUAUAUAUUUGUAGUUGAUUAAUGGAAUAAAAACUUAAUCAACAAAUUAACCAUAUAUUGUAUGUAUUGGUAGCUUAUAAAAUAAGCUAACUAUAAGGUGUACAUAUAAAAAACUUAUCUUGCAAGUUGAAACAUGUGUCUUGUAAUUUGGACAUGUAUUGGAGGUCCUAAAGAACAUCACUACAUAGCUUUUAAUUAAAUAGUAUAUAUGGAGGCAAGAAUGAAGCCUUCUUCACUCUUGUCAAUGUCUUUGUGCUCGUUAGUCUUGUUUUAAGACUUUCUAAUUUUCUUGUUUUGGCAAUAAUAAUUCUAAAUUUUAAUAUUAUAUUAGUUUUGAAUGAAUAUCUAUUCUUUUGAGUUACAUAAGAGUAUAUUGAAUUUUUUAUUCUUUGCAAUUUAUAUUCUUGGUAGUUUAAUAAGAAACUUAAUUUUUUGUUCUUGUUUUAUUCUAAUAGUGAAUAGAAUAUUCAACUUCUAUUGUUACAUUUUUAAAGGUUACAAACCAUCUACCUUUCAAUUAACUUAUAGUUUUUUAAAAUUAUUUUUUUUCUUAGAAAGAGAAGAUUAUCUCUCUUUAUAAAAUAUUUAUUUAAUAUUAGAGGUUAAAAAUUACCUUAUUUUAAUUUAAUUUUUUAAAUUUAUUUGAGUUAUCUAUGAAAAAAAAAUUAUGGAUAUUAUUCUUAAAAAAAAUUAAAAUAGAUUUGAAAUUAUUGCAAAUCUUCACAAGCUUGUCAAUACUCUUAGGAUAGAAAUCUCACGUAUUUUUAUUAUGAAUCAUGGAGAUACUAUUACUAUGCCUAUAAAAAAAAUUAAUCAUAAAAUUCAAAGUUUCCACCAAAAAUUUUUAUAAUUAAGAAAAAGAAGUAGAUCAAAUUGACUACUAAAUUCAAGAAGUUUAAUUACUAUAAAUAUAAAGAAGGACAUAAUAAAUAUAUUAGAGAAGUUUGAUGGAAGAAGAUCGAAGUUUUAAGGGUUUUUACAGAAUUAAAACUCUUUCCAAGAUUGCAUUCUUUUCAAUAUUCUAAUAGAUUAUUCAAUUUAAAUUUAUAGAAGCACUUCUCUUUAAAAAUAUUCUUUUUUGAUUUUUAUCUUUAAUAGAAUAUAUUCAAGAUUAAUCUUAGAUUUGAUUUCAUUGUUGAAAGUAUUUUCAAUUAUACUUGAAAAAAGUGAUUGACAAAUUAUAGCAAAGACCAAACUUGUAUCUCUAUAAUAAUAAUCAUGUUUAGCCACUGUAUAUGCUACUAAAUUUCAAAACCUUUUUUAAAAUAUAGAUUAGAAUAAUAAAGAUUUUAUAAAUUAAUUUUGAUAUAAAUUAAAAUUUAAUAUCAAAGAUUUAUUGUUGGCAUUGCUAAGACUAGAUUUAUUAGAGUAGUUUAUUAAUCUGGCCAUUGUAUGCAACAAUUGAUUCUUUAAAAGACAUCAAGAAUAAAGAUUUGGUUGAAGAUGUACAAAUGAAGCGAUGGCAACACCUUCUAAGUUUUUGGAAGCUUAUUCAUCUAAGCCAAAGCCUAUAUAAAUUUACAUAAUAGGAAAUUGAGCAAAAAAAGACUCAUCAUUAUCAAAAAGGUUUCUACUUAUAUUGUAGAGAAUCCAAGCAUACAACUCAAUAUUUUCCUAAAAAACUUAAUCAAAAAAUAAAGAGCUUGGUUGUGAAAGAAGACAAUGUGUCAAAAAAUAAAAUCUUUAAGCUACAAUAGAGACUAUGCAGUUGGAAUCUUAUACAUUAUCUAGUAAAGGUUUUAUUUUUUCCUCAGAUCUCUCACCUUAUUUUAUAAUAGAAGUUUAUUUAAGACCAACUAUGAAGGAUAUGAAAUAAAAGUUGAUGCAUAAACAAUGAAAUCCAUGUCAAAGAAAGAGUGACAAAAUAGAAAUAAGAAAGUAUGUAUAUUAAAAGAAACUCGAAAGGCUUAUUACUAAAAGACAAGAAAACUUGAGACUCUUGAAACUAGACUAGAAGCAAGAAAGGAGUUGACAAGAGUGAAGAAGGCUUCACUCUUGUCUCUAUAUAUACUAUCUAAUUAAGGGCUAUGUGGUGAUGUUCUACAUGACCUUCAAUGUGUGUUGACUUUGUAGGACACAUGCCUUGACUUAUAAGGUAAGUUUUUCUACGUGUGGGCCACAUAGUUAGGUUGAUCUUCAAGCUAACAACAUGUGUGGCACAUGGCCAAUUUAUUGACCACGUUUUUAGUCCAAAAAGUCAAUUAAAGAUACCUAUAAAGUCAAAGUAACACCUAUAAAGUCAAAGCAACAUCUAUAAAGCUUCUAAGAAGCUUCCAUAGAAGAUAUUAUAGAAUUAACUUGCUUUUAAUUACUUCUAUUUAUCUAUUUAUACAAGUAAUUACUAGCUUAUAUGCAUAUGUCUAUGACAUUAUUCUCCCUUCUAGGGAUGAGUUCCAUGAAAAGUAGUCAUCAUAUCUUGAAGAAAUCUAUGAUGUGACGAAUUGUAUUCACCACAUACUUAGAUCUUUAUUUUCUUUGAAGAUGGUUGAUGGGGCCUCUCAACCAUUGAUAGUAUCCCAUACCAGGGCGGAAAGACCAUCCUAUUAUCUGACCGUUGUUGAGGCCUUCAUAACUUCUUUCAAAUAAAAUAUUUAGAACACCAUUAGGAAUUGUUUCUACCUCUAAUAAAAUUAUCAAACAUCAGGAGUCUCUUCCAAGGUUGUGAUACCAAAAAAUAUUUCUUCUACUCAAAAAAUAUCUUACUUUAUUACUUAUAAUUAUCAUCCAUAAGUUGAUACUUUUGACUUUUUAAAAAUUAAUAAUCUAAUGGAAGAAAAUUUGGCAAAUUAUUUAUAAGAUCUACAUAUAAUAAUGAAGCGACAAUUAAUAAAAGAUUAAGUAUAAAAAAAGACUAUGUAGAUAUUUAUUAUAAGAAAUAACUUGAAUUCCACAAUUAUCAUUUAUAUCUACAUGUGUCAAUAAAGAUUCAUUCUAUAUUCCAUGUAUUUCUUUUUAAGCCAUAUAAAACAAUAGAUAUAUCAAAAAAAAGAUAAAUAACACCUCUUCUUAUAAAAAAAAUAAAAAAAUAAAAAUAAAAAAAUAAAGUUGAAGAAUUCUUAAAUUCAAGCUAAUGUCAAAAUAGGUUGGAAUAUUUUGCAUAUUAGCAUGGAUAUAAUAUUAGUAAGUAUAGAUAAGAGCUAGCCAAAAAUCUUGCAAAUGUAGCAAAGAAGGUUGAUGCUUUUUAUUAUCAACAUUCAUCAAAAUCUGGAUAAAGAAUCAAGCAAUUCUAUUAUUACAAAAAAAAAAAAAAAAAAAAAAAAAAAAAAAAUUAUUGAAGAUUGUAUUCUAUUUUGUAUAUUUAUAUAUAAUUUAUGUAUACUUAUAUCAUUAAUGAGAUAAAAGAUCAAUAACUACCAAAAUCAAAUCACAAGGUAUUAUUUGUUGAAUUUGUAGAUAAUCCUAUGAAAUUAUCAUGGACUUCAAGAUGAUAUAAUAGAAAUAAAGAUGCCUAAGAAUGAUAAGCUUUUUUUCAAAUAGAUAGUGCAAUAAUGAAAUAGUGAGAUAUAAUAUGUCUUUGAAAAAAGUACCUUAUUGUAUACAACUAAAGUUUAAGAUAAUUUGUGGUAGCAUAAGUAAAAUAAACUAUAAUAGCAUAUAGUAGAUGACAAGUUGUAGUAGUAAUAGCAACACAUUACAUAUAUAUAUAUAUAUAUAUAUAUAUAUAUUAUUUAUUUUUAUUUAUAUAUUUAUUUAUUUACAUACAUAUAAAUUAUAAUUAUACAUCUAUAUGUACAUACAUGUUAUAAUUAUAAAUAAAAAAAAAUAACAAGUUUAAGAUAUAAAAGUUCAUAACAAUGAUAAUCAUGUAAAUAAAAAUAAAUAAAUCAAGUUCUAAAUUUUGAUAAUAAAUUUGCAAGAUCUUAUACAUACAUGCAUACAUACAAACACACAAUUGAAUUAAAAUGCAUACAUUUAUACUUUCAAAAUAUUGAAUGAAUUAGAAUUGUAAGUGAACUUAAAAUUGUUUGUAAACUUUUUGAAUAAAAUCAACAUUUCAAAAAACAAAUACAAACUUUUACAUAUUGAUACAAUCAGAAUUCUGAUUUGACAUUGUUGGUUUAAUUGUUUGUAAUAAUGUGGAGUAAUUAUUGUCAUUACAAUAGCAUAGGAGUAAUUAGGUAUGUCAGAUUCAUAGACUUGACAUUCACUACAAUUAUAGUUUUUAUUAAUUAAAAAUGAUAUAUCCAGUUUUCAGUUGUAUACUUUAAAGAGAUUAUUGUAUUUGUGUUUUUUCUAAAUGUUUCAUAUAUUUGUUUAAAAAUUAAAAUGUGUAUGUUCUUGUAUGUAUAUAUGAAUGUAUGUAUGUAUACAAAAUUAUUUUUUCAGAAACAUAGAUCCUGUAAUAACUACAAACUUAUAAAGGUUUAUUUAUAUACUACUUUGGAAAAAUAAAGGUGGAGAUAGAACAAAACAUUUGAAAAUAAUCACAUAUUAUAAAAACUUAACUAAAUAAGUGUUAGUUUUUGUAAGAAAUAUGUUAAUUUGAAGUCAUGAACUGAAUACUAAAUGUACCUUUACCAAUUUCUGAGGUCUUCAUUAAAAAAGAGGCCUAAAAAAGAAAUUAAAAAUGUGGGUGUUGGUUCAUUUGUCAAAGAUAUUUAAUCAUGAAUUUUCAAAUUUAAAAAUAUAUAAAAUGUUGUGUUCUAUGAUUUGUCACACCAUGAAAUAUCAACAACAGUUUUGAAGAGUAAGAUAUGAAGUACAGCACUUCAGAACAUAAUCAACAUAUAAAAGCAUCUAUCUUGUUCAAAUACUAAUUUAGUUUUGAGAUCUCAUGGUAAUACAGUCUAAAUAAGAAAUGCGCAACAUUUUUAUAUCAGUAAGUAUCAUAAGUUACAACGAUAAAUUAAACAAAUAAAUGCAUAAAUGGAUAAUGGCUCCCAUGCGGCGUUCAUAGGUCCCAGAAGUUGAAGUAGGCAGUUAAAGACCUCUAGAGGUUAUUGAAGGUGGUUAUAGGCCCGAAUAGACUGGGUCACCAAACUGCAGUCUUCCGAGGACACAAGACGCAUGUAGAUGCUCGCUGAGUUGAUCCUGAAACCAAUCACAUUCUGUCAAAUAAGUAACACAAUGAGCAGCAUUGUUUUAGAAUGGUCCGGACAAACUGAUGAACGAUUUGUCACCACGUAAAGAUGUAGAUCUUUCGUGAUGAACCAGAAGAAACCAGGAAAAACCACGCAGAACCCGAAAACUUCGACACUUUCGAUGAAUUGCUCCUGGAGUCUAGGCUUCCAAUCACUUUGUGCCAUCAAUUGCGCAGGUUUAGAUAUAGUGACUCGGCAUAAUUUCGUCGCACCCUGUUUUUCGAGGUCUGAUCGGUCGGUGUAUUUGCACGUACAGUGGUUGGGUGUGGUUCUAACUCCAACGGCAUCGACCAACUUCUCGCUGCAGCUCUUCUCUGCUCCGAGCUUCUGGUUCAUCGAGGUGGGGUCUUCGGCAAAGCUCGACGGUGCUGCGCACAUGUCGUUGCGCGGCGAUUGCCGAAAUCCUGCUGUUGCACGGACUGGGUCUCGGGGUGCUUAAUGCCUCGUCAAUAGUUCACACGAUUGUUUUAUGUACAGAAUCUAUCUUUACUUGACGGUUGCUCGAUUCACGCCGUGACCGCUCAUCGAUCCGAUGAUUGAAGUGGAGACCGAGUUUCAGUGUCGGUGAAUUGUAGCGACAGAGGGCAACAAGAUCGGUGAAGCAUAUGCGAUCUGGCUCGAAAAGAACGUGUUUCAAAUUGUUCCUAUAUAAAUUGAAGCACGUUGCUUGUGCUCAAAACAAAGGCAUGUUCGAAUCUAUUACAUGUUUGAAGUAUACUAUGAAAGUUUGUUAUGGCAUAAUACCGCUACGUAUACUUGUACAUAGAUUCAUCCCAAUGCAUCUAUACUUCAUAUAUUCGAAUUCACGUGUUGAAAUAUCUGUAUAAAUUGAAGCAUCCUAUAAAAUAAACUAUUAAUAAUCAUUGAGCUUGAGUCCUAAUUCAUGGCAGACAUUCAUGAGAUCGCAACGUAUAAUAUUUUCUAAGUUGACAAAAUUAUUUUCUGUUUGAUUGGGAAACAUGUGAAAACAUGCAACGUGACACAAGCUGAUUCAGUGAUCUCAACCAGUUAAGCGUGCAAGAUUGGCAACAAAAUCGUCUGAGAAUCCUUCAUCUGUAGAACAUGAAACGUGGGUACAAAGAAGGUUCUCUACCCUUUUCCUACUUUUAAGUAUAGUUUAGUAACUGAUUCGUUGAUUGGUAACAUGAGCUGUAAUAAAAUUAUUGUGGUUGAAUCAUGGAAGGCAAAUAAAGAUGUGGAAUGAUUGUAAGUUGUUUAUUAGUAGUUGUAUUAAAUACCCAUAAUGUACAGGCGUUUUGUAUGUAUCAAACUGAUUGAGGAAUUUCAAUUGAUUAAUUAUAUGCUUGUGGAAUACACAAGUUAGCAUGUGUCCACAAAUCUUGUCCUAUGUGAUUGUAAUUGAUUGUUACUGUAACAAUCAACCACGUUUAGUAAUAAUCAGAUACACAGUCAAAAUCAAAAAUAUGAUUUGUGCAUAUAUAUAUAUAUAUAUAUAUAUGUGUGUGUGUAUGCAUAAGUGUAUGUAUAAAAGAAACAGCUGUUGGCUUUAUUUUUAAUGCCAAUACAUGAUACUUUUUAAUUGAUUUUUAAACCAAUAUAGGCAUGUUAAAUUAUCACUUUCUAUGCAUCGGUAACAAGAGCUAUCAUGUAUUGUUUCCUAUUUUUUUGAAGCACUUUAAACUUCAAUAAUUGUUUGUAAAUGUAUAAUAAAUUAAAUUAUAUGUUAGUAAUUCUGAUUGAUAUAUUUUUUAUGUUUAUAUGUUCCUUUUUAUAAAAUCAAAACUAUGUGUAAGUUCAUAAUACCUUCUAAAAUUAUAAUAAUUUAAUAGAACAUUGAUAACAUAGUUGCAACUUUUAUAUAUAUAUAUAUAUAUAUAGAUUCCUUUCAAAACAUGUUAUAAAUUUGAUGUCAAAUAAUUUACUAAAAUUAUCCUAUUGUUUUUUAAGUUAUUUAAAAAAUUCAUGGGCAUUCUUUUUGUGAUGUAGUUCCAAUAAAAUAUUGGAAUAAAUUAUAUAAAUAUACUCAUUCAUAUUAUUAAAAACCCAAUCCAUUGGAAAAACAAAUAUUUGUAGUAAAAUUCAUAGAUAUAGUACAAAAAAAUUUAAUUAAAAAAAAGUAAGUGUAAUAUAUAUAUAUAUAUAUAUAUAUAUAUUGACAUUUAUAUUUAAGAAUAUAUUUUUUUCUAAAAACUUCAUGAUUAAUUAUGUAUUAAUUUGACUUUUAGUAUUAAAAAAUGUUUGUGAUGUGAAAGUCAAUCUUAUAUGUUUACUUUUAUCUUAGAGACAUUGUCAAUAUUAUAAACAUAUUUAGUUACAUUUAUAUGUACUGUUUUAGAACCAUGUAAAUUAAAUCUUCUUUUUUCUGUAUACAAAUUUUAAAAGAACUUUAUUUGAAGAGUAUACAAUUCAUUCACCAAUAAGAGAAUUUGUUUAUCUCAGUAAAAAUUUGCUUCUAUCAAAACCUAUCAUAUAUUAAUUGAAACAUAUAUUAUUUAGUAUACCAAUUACAUUUGUAGAGUCUUCUUUAAAAUCUCUACUAUACUUAUGGUAAUAUUCUAUUAUUCAAAUUGAUUUAUUUAUUUGCUCAAUAUACCAAUCAUUUCUAACAUACUCACAAAAAUAUCCCACUAUUUAUUAAUACAAGCUAAUUCUAUUGUUUAAACAAUAAUAUUCAAUAGUCCAAGUAUGAGUUAGACCUUGACACAUUCCAAAUAUGCAUGCAAAAUUACGAAAAAACACAUGCGUAAUUAAAUUCUAUUGUGUAUCUUUACAUGAUCAUUCUCACCUUAAAGUUUUUGUCCAUUAGGCACAUUAAUACUACUAUAGUCUUUUUUCUCUUGUGCUCACCAAUAUUAUAAUAUUCUUGUAGCACUUACAAUAAAGAACUUUCACUCAAUUUAAAUCAAGCCAUCUACAUUGUAUAGUGUUUAUGCAUGAAUUAAAAGUGGUAUAUAUACAUUAAAUGUGAAUUUCUUUGAUUUCUUCAUCUAUGCAUUUGCAUCAAAGAUUCUAUCUAUUUGUAAUGACUUGUAUUUAUGUCUUCUCAAUCUACAUUGAUCUUGACAAUGAUGUUAAAUUUAUUAAAAUGUAUAAUGCAAUUUUUGUUGCUUUGUUUUGUUAAUAUUUAUGUUUCAUUUUGUGUAAAAGUACUAUGUAAAUUAUGAAACGUAAUAAUUAAAAUUAAUAUCUUCAAAAACUUGUAAAACAAAAAAAAUUUAUAGUGUUAGGAAUUUCACAUCUAAAUCAAAUUUAUUUAAUGUAUUAACAAUUGUUGAAAUCAAAUGUAACAAAAUAUAAAAUACAAUGCAUAUGUUAUAUAUAUAUAUAUAUAUAUAUAUAUAUAAAUAAAUUUUUCACAAUAACGCCCUCUUUGUACUUGGAGAAUAAAUCUUCAAAAAAAAAUUCUAUAUAAAGUGGUUGUGACUCCUAAUCAACUAUAGUAAAACUAUGUUCUCACUAUAACUAGCCUCUUGACCAAUAGGACUUUUUAUUGCUCUAAUUUUUAUUUUUGCUUUGAUUGACACAAAUAGAUAAUUUAACAAAAAAAUUAAAAUAAGAACCAAUUUAAACUCAUAAUAGUUAUUAUAAUGUCAUCACUAUAUUAUUUGUAAUCACUACAUAUCUUAACAAUUAAAAAAAUAGAAUUAUUAAAUUGACCCAAGCAUUUACUUAAUCAAACCACCCAUCCUUACCAUCAUCAAGAAAUUCUCCUCUACCAGAUCUGCAUUGGUCAAAAACUAAUGAAAAAAAUAAUUGGAUCCUCAACCAAUGAUGAUGAGUAGAUUGAUUUAGUGAAUGCUUGGGUCAGUUUAACGAUCCCCUAACAAAAUGAUUUUUUGAAGUAAAAUCAGUAGGAUGGAACAGAAUUCGUCGCCCACAUUCCGAAAAUAACCACGAUAACUGAAAAAGGCGAUGGAUUCCGUGAGAAAGUAAUGCUUUUACUUGAAACAAACCGCGUUCCAGAAAUAAAAAAAACAGAAUCAAUGACGUGGCCACUUCGGCGAGGGUCACAUCGCCAACUAGGCACGCAUGAUACACGUCAUCAACUAAAGUUGGGGGAGCGAUGAGUCAGCAAUCCGGUGUCCUCUUUCACAUCAACGCUGCUUGUGAAGAGGAAGGAAGUCGUAAGCUCAUCACACGGCUCAUGUGGUGACAGGUCCUCCUCGCCUACGCGGUGGUGGGGCUUCAGUGAGACGAGGUACCCGCAGAUGUCACGAAGUCGAGGAGGGAAAAUGAAAGGCACUUUCGAUCGAUCGAUCGAUCUCUCUAUUUUUUUCUCUUCCUCCUCUUCGUGUCGUUCUCGAAUCUCCCCAGAACGUUCAAGAAGCGUGUGCUAUUUUUAAUGCGGUCUCAUUCUUGAUCGGAAUCGCCCGGCGCACACAGUAACGAACAGCGGCACUUCAGAGACCAACGAUUUGAUGCGUGAGAACUGGUGUGGAACCGGCACUGUUCAUGUGGAAGAAGCUUCGGAGAAACGGAAGUAAUUGGAGGGUGGGGGCCAGGGCGGGGCUGAGCAGAAUGGAGGUGGAUAGGACGCGAGGCAUUGCCAUGGCGGAACGGAAACGAUCGAUGACUGCCAUCUUGGCAUGGCGGAUUGUCCCAGUCUCACAGACAAACUGGAAAACCACUAGUAACUGACUGAAGUUGAUGUGGAGUUUCACGGGCGUAAAUUACUAUUUUCGAUGUAAAUAAUCCUCCAGAAACCAAAGACCCUUACCCGAAACGAAUUGUGCGUUGUUUGUAUGAGCUGGUGCAGCAUAAAGACUCUCUCGUGAGUGCGUUCGCUUGAAUUGCUAGGUAGAACUUUUGUGUCGAAGAGGCGGAGUGAGAGGAGUAGGAGGUGAGGUUCUGGUGGUGAAAUUUACGAGGGAGAGUUGAUUUGGAAGCUGAAUUGGCGGCGAGUUGCGGAGUACUGGUGGUGAGUUAUGGUGUCAAAGCAUUGGCUGGAGGUCGAGCCCAUGGAGUGUAAUGGAGAGGCGCAAGAACGCAAGCAGCGGUGGAUUUUGGUAACUGGAGGCGCCGGCUACAUCGGCACCCACACCGUCUUGCAGUUAUUGAUGGAGGGAUACUGUGUUGUGAUAAUUGACAAUUUGGAUAACUCCUGUGAAGAAGCCCUGCAUCGCGUGCGCAAGUUAGCGGGCGAAUUUGGAGAGAAUUUGAAGUUUGUUAAGGUUUAUUCAUUGGCCGUUCAACUUCGCUUCGUUGUGCGAUUGUAGCAAUUUUUAUUUCACGAAGAGGUCGCUGUGGACUUGGUGCUGUCGCGUUAUACCCGUCCACUUGCAUGAUUAAAACCAACAAAUAUGUGUUCACGGUUUCAAGGAGGUCUGUAGGGGUAGUGUUUUUGUCAUUGUUAGCGCAUGUUGUUUUACAGUUAUUUGCUUGAAAAAUGUUAUUGCUCUGUUGUGUGCGUCGUCUACAAACAGCGCGCGGUGCAUGCUUGUUUCACCUAGCUGUCUCUUUGUGCUUUUUAACUUUCUUUGAGGGAUUAUGAAAGAUUGUUUCGUGGUGAAUAUCUAUGUGUGAAAUACACAUGCAGUUGAGGAUGAAUUUUACGGAGAUCUCGUUUGGCCUUAUUUUGAUGAGUCAUCGAAGACCUAUGCUGAGGUUUUAUUUACACGUAAAUAUGCAGGGGGAUCUUUGUAAGGUGGAAGACGUACUUAAGGUGUUCAAGCUUCACAGGUAUGCCAUGUGAAGAAAUUUCAUUUUUCGUCUACUGCACCCAACGUGAACUUAUUGGAUGGAUGCAACACUUAAUUGCAGGGUAAUAGAUAUAGUGCAGCCGUAAUGUUGCUAGUGUUUGUCAUUACACCUAAUUUUGUGCUUAAGAUAAUAGUUCGUGGUUUAUCACACCUGUGAAAUAUUCUUACAAUUCAAAAUCGGCAGGUUCGAUGCUGUCAUUCACUUUGCAGGCCUGAAGGCUGUAGGAGAAAGUGUGUCGAAGCCUUUGCGUUACUACAGCAACAAUCUAAUAAGCACCAUUAAUCUUAUGGAUGUCAUGUCCAAGAACAACUGCAAAAAUGUGAGAAUAUUUCCCACCACAGGGGUAGCUCAAGUGGAUAGACACUCAAUGUUACUACUGCUCAGUUCUCGUGAAUGUCUUAAGAUAGUGGUUAGUGAGAAGCAUCCUACCAUUAAAAUUCGUAUCUCUUGAAAUUUUAAUAUGAGUGGACCAUUGGAUGCAGCUUGUGUUCUCAUCUUCAGCAACAGUGUACGGACAACCGGAGUGCGUACCUUGUACAGAGGACUAUCCACUCCAUGUCAUGAAUCCUUACGGCCGCACCAAGGUACUCAUCAGCGUCAGAAGUCUAGAGACGUUGUGAGGGCAGAAUGUAGCGACACAGGCAUCAGUUUGUUUUGACGAAAUUGGUGAAGACUUUGUGAUUGUAAGGUCACGUUUGGGUGCCGCACUGGAAUAUGUGAACGAGGGCUUAAGGUUCGAUGUGGAACUUGUGCAGCUUUUUAAUGAAGACAUUAUGCGUGAUGUUCAUCAUGCGGAUUCAGAAUGGAAGAUUGUGUUAUUACGAUAUUUCAAUCCGGUGGGGUCCCACCCGAGUGGUGAGAUUGGUGAAGAUCCCAUGGAUUAUCCCAACAAUUUGAUGCCCUUCGUGCAACAAGUUGCAGUGGGUCGUAGAGAAAUGCUCACUGUCUUCGGCAAAGAUUACAAAACCCGUGAUGGAACUGGGGUUAGGUUUUAUGAACUCCAGAUGAUCGUAUUAUUUGCUGGAGGACUGGACCACAAAUUUCGCGGAUAAUUUUUUAAAAAGAAAUAAGAAAUAUAUCUUCAAUUUUUAAUUUAUUUGAUUUUCACAAUAUUGUUUCGGAUUGAAACUUACGAAUUUAUUUUUAAAAUAUCGCACUCUGAAUGAACAACUGUGAUUUGGUGUUUCAGGUCCGAGAUUACAUUCAUGUCAUGGAUUUGGCAAGUGGUCAUACGAAGGCUCUGGACAAACUCUUCACAACUCCCGACAUAGGUACGACCUGUCAUUCUUUUGAGUCUGGAAAUGCAAUGUGGGUUCGUAGGGGAGUUGAAAUUUUGAUGGAAUAAACAUGUUUGCACUUAUUUGAAGAGUACAUAGCCUUCUGGACUCGUCCUUGGCUCACUAACUUAGCAAUGGUCACUUUAGUCCGCACGUCGAAAAGCGUGGAUAAUUUACUAUGUGUUUAGGAAAAAAAUUAACUUCUUUAUUUCGGCAGGAUGUGCAAUUUACAAUUUGGGAACAGGGAAAGGCACCACUGUGCUUGAGAUGGUGGCAGCAUUUGAAGAAGCAUCUGGAAAGGUAGCCGUUGAUUUAUUUGAUUGUAUAUAUGUGAUGGAAGUGUGCUGUUUACCUGAAAGAAUGUGGGUGGGGAUUGACACAUUAAAUGUUCAACCUUCUUUGCAGAAAAUUCCAUUGAGAUUUGCAGGUCGUCGUCCUGGCGACUCCAGUGAGGUCUUUGCUUCAACUGAGAAAGCAGAAAAGGAGUUAGGUUGGAGGUGAUUUAUUUUCUCCUCCUUUUCUACACGAUUCUUUUUAGGAUUGAUCAAUUUUAGCAGUAGUCCAUCGUACUUCGUGUAUGAUCAAUUUUGGUCAGUGUGUCAUCCUGUUCAAGAACUCGUGCUUACAUUUUUUUUGGUCGUGUUUUGUAAUCAUGUUCGUGGUGGCAAAUGUAACUUCUAAAUUCGUUUUAACCUGGUCUGGCGUUACAGAGCCAAGUUUGGCAUAAAAGAGAUGUGUCGUGAUCAAUGGAAUUGGGCAAAAACGAACCCGUAUGGAUAUCGAGGCCAACAAGAACUGGAGGUCACCACACAGAAAUCCAUGAGUAAUGGACAUCGAAAACUGUAGUGGUUGUCACUUUGAACGAAUGAUCACAUGGUGUUGUGUAAACUCACUUUUAUACAAAUGCGAACAAUAGAAAAGAAAAGACCAGAUUUUUUUUUAAGGAUUGGAUCAGAUUCGAUCUUAUGCAUUUCUCUGUCUCGUAAUAGCCAUCGAGACUUUGACAUAGAGAUAACUCCCUUCAUGGUAGUUAGUAAUAACAUAAUUUACUCCUAAACUUGGGGCUAGUCUACUGAAACAUUGAACCUGAUUUAUGGAGCAAAGGUGCCUAGUUUCGAAUAUGGCAGGUGAAGCACUUGAAACUAGGAUGAUACGUUUAACUUUCGGCAAGUAGCAUUUGAUUCUUUGUACAUAAAGAGAUCAUCAGUAUCUGUGGAGCUGCUGCGUGAAUUCCAGAUUCAAUAAAGUGUAACAGACGCAGUUCAUGAUUCUUGUGGAAUUGCUGGUUUCAGAAAAACAAUUCUCUUGCACAUCGAAACAGACAUCCUAUUCAGAUCGGGUUGAGAGUGUUUCUCAAUCUUUGAACAGCUAUUUAAUCGCUGAUCCUGUUUCUGACCUUGUAGGAUUCUUUAGAGCUUAGCACUGUUUAAGCGAAACUGGAAAAGUUCGAGUGGGAGUUCAGCACCGGUGGCAUUUGGGCAUCAUCCCUACCCUAUAUUCCAGGUUCUUUAAAAAAUCUUUUGGUGCAAGGCUACACGGACAAGCGAGGUCCAAUACCCUAGCUCCGUAAACUUAAAAAUACAAGUUCUGGCAUACGAGGGUAAUCAAAUAUCAAGUGUCAAUCAUAUCCUCCUGGAGGUUGGGGCCCUCAUUCUCGAUCUAACAUGUGAGUGUCACCCUCGAUUCGAUAUCCGAAAUGAUCCCUGCGUGGGAAAGAAACCUGGGGCAUCAACUACCCAGCAGGCCAUUGGAGCAAAUCCUCGGCAAGCAGCCACAGCCUUACGGCACCACAUGGAGGGGGAUAUUGUAAUCCCUUUACGCAACGUGCAACAUGGAUUACAUGAAGUUGCCUUCAUAUUUAGCGUUGCCGUCCUCGUCUCGAAACCUCCUGCUACUGGGGUAUCGUUCGGUUACCAAUCCAAGCAAGACAAUGUUCGAAGGCUUCGCAGCAGCCUUUGGGAUUUGAUCUCUUCCAUGCGAACCAAUGUUGUCCAGUGCCCAUAUUCCGACGUAAAUUCUUUUCAUCACAUGAAUACAUUCAAGAGACAAAAAAUUGCCUUUGGCAUUAAAUACAUUAUAAUAUAUUUCAAAACUUAUUUUUUAUAAAUUUAUCCAAUAGUAAUUAUUGGCUUUAGAAUUGAGAUUUACACAUAAUUUCAUUCUUCAUUACAAACUCAAAUUGACAUUUAUAUUAUACUUGCAUGUAAGCACAUCCUUUCUAUAAAUUUAUUAAGUUUUUGAUGGUUAUGCUAAAUCAAUAUGUAUUAGUAUAUUGCUAUAUGCUACUGUUGUUGGAUAAUUUUGUUAAUGACCAAUUAUUUUACUUGAUAUAAGAUGCCAAAUAUAAGCUAAUUGCUAUUAUAAUUACAAAAUAAAUUUAAAAGUUUAAAGAAUCACAUUGGUAAGAACUAUAAAUUUAAUAUUUAAAAAUUUAAUAUGUUGACUUUAAAAUUCCAUAUUUAUUUGAAUUUAUUUUAAAAAAAAGAUUCUAAAUUAUCUUAUAGUAUAAGAAAAAUUAUACAAAACAUUAUCUAUCUAUUAAAUUUAUAUUAAACUAAUUUAUUAAAAGAAAUUUAAAAAUAUGUAUACACAAAUUUCUAUUAACAAGAUGUCAAGUAUUUAUUAUAUAAGCUAUCUUGGAUAUAAGACAAAGAGACAAAGAAGUUUUUUGAUUGAUUGUGAAGAAGAAAACUCAAAGAACUUGGGAAAUACAAGGAACAUAGGGAACGUGGGAACAAAAGAAUGUUGAACUUAUGGAAAGUGGGAAAUAGGGAAUAUGAGAACAAAAAAACCAACAUGAGAAUGAGAGAAUGUAGAAACGUAGGAACUAAGGAACAUGGAAAUGAAGGAGCAUGAAUAAAUGAGGAAAUGGAUGGAUGUGCCAAAGAUUACAAUUCUCAAUGGUAUAAGUUUCUGCCAAUAUUAUAUAUAUAUAUAUAUAUAUAUAUAUAUUGAUGUUUAUAUUUGAUGUAAUAAUAAGAUUAUUUUUUAUUAUUUUUUAUAUUUUAAAUAAUAAAAAAUUAUUAUAUAUAUAUUUAAAAUUAAAUUAUUUGAUAUGAAUAAUAUUUUUACAAUAUAUAAUAUUAUAUAUAAAGUUAUAUAAAAUUAAAUUUAAUAAUUUUUGUAUCAAUUAAUUUAUUUAUCUAAAUUAAUUGAAGAAAUUAUUGUUAUAGAAAUUAUAAUUUAAUUGACACAUAUUUGAAGCUUAAUAUUGAAUUUAUAAAAAAUAUUCUUUUAUUUUAUAAAAAAAAUGUUAAAACUAUAGUUAUUAUUUUAAAUAUAUGUUAUAUAUUUAGGAAAAUGAUAAAGCAAACCAAGUUUUUACUAAAUCAAUUCACAUGCCUCAUUUCCAACUGUUCCUCUGUUUCCUUGUUUCCAACAGUUGCCACUGUUUCCAACCCCAUGUCCCAUCUUUAGCAAUGGUUGGAAAACAAGAAAUGGUUGGGAACAAGAAGUAAUUGAGAACAAGAAUGGAGGCUCUAAGGAUGUAGUGAUGCUUAAGAUAGAGUGGAUCACUUUAGUAAAAAUUUGGGUUGCUUUAUCAUUCUUCUAUAUUUAUCCUAUUUUAUUUCAAUGACUUAUUUAAUUAUAAGUUAUAUUUAAAAUGGUUUUUCUUAAUAAUUAUUGUUAUUUUGGGUCAAUUCUAAAGACCUAAAAAAUAAAAUUGAUAGAUAGAUAUAAGAUGUCAAAGAACAAAAAGUUCUUCAUAAAAUAAUAUCUUUUACAAGUUUUUAUUUAUUUAUUUAUUUUAUGCUCAUUAAUGUGGAAUGAGAGACAUCUCUUAUUUAACAUCAAUAGAAAAAAAUUACAAUUUUAAGAAUUGGUUUGUAUAUAUAUAUAUAUAUAUAUAUAUAUAAGCAUUUUGAUGUCUUUUACAAUCAAUAAUCAAACAUGUGAUCUUAUUUAAUGCACAAAUAAUCUCAUAAUGAUUAAAAUGUGACUAUGUUCUUAUAUUAAUAGUUAUUCAAAUUGACAUUAUAAUAAAUAUAUUAAAUUGUAUUUAUAUUCAUAUGCAUUAGAUUAUAGAUAUUAGAAACAAAUGCUUUAUUGGAUUUUAAAUUAAUUUUUGUAUGUUUUUAAUGGAAAAUUAUCUUAAAAUAUCAUUUUGAAUAGUUUAUGAAUUAUUUCAAAAUCAAAAAGGGUAAUUUUAUUUUUUAAAAUAAUUAUUUAUUAACUUCUCAUCUGUAAAUUGUUUUCAUAUUUAUGAAGUUUAAACUCAAUUUAAAUAAUAAAUUGAACCAAAAAGAAUUGAAAUUAACUUUAUGAGGUUAUAUUGUUAUUUUUGUAUUCUUCCUAUGUGUCUAAAAUAUAAGAAACCAACAUAUUCAAAUCCCAUAAUGUAGAAUUAAAAUUGUAAAAAUUAGACAAGAGGCUUAAUUGAAUAUUUGAUUUUAUAAAUGUGACUUGGUUCUUUUUGAGAAAGAAUUUCACAAAAAAAUAUCAUAUAUAUAUAUAUAUAUAUAUAUAUAUAAGGUUUCUUUCUACAUUCACGUAUUAAUUUAUAAAAGUAACUUUAGAAACUCACAUUAUGUUUUAAUUUAGAAUAGUUGGAGAAAUCAUUUUGACUUUUACAUUAAACAUAAAGUUCUACAAAACUUUUUUAAAAUUUUAUCAAAAUAGCAUUCUACAUGGAUGUGAUGCAUUCUUUAAUUUUAAUAUAAAAAAGAUUGUUAGUGACGCAACAUGAUGACUUGGAUGUAAGUGAUUGGAUGGAGUUACCAUGACAAUGGCAAGACUCCAACAUUCGAUGUGAAGCCACGGAGACAGAAGAAGCUCCCAAUUCCAAACCGAGAUUUAGAACCGGCGAAUCCUACCUGAGCAUGUCAAUAGCAAGUACCAACUGUACAACUUCUGCUUACCCGGGUAUCUGUAGCACAUACUAUACCUGUUCAUACACCCGCCCAGUCAUGAGAAUGUGGAACAUACCCGUUAGCCUAGGUAGAGUGCAAAUAUUAGGGUUUACUCCUCAUCGAUGUCUUUCAGGGCUUCGCGACACUGUUUCUGUUGCAGACAAAUGAUUCUUCCGACGUAGGUUUCAUCAAUUUCGUUUUACGGACUGUGCAGCUCGGAGUAUGGAGAGCGCGGCGCUCCGCAGAGCGUUGUGCUGCCCUCGCAUUCGUUAAUUUCGAGGGUUUCUUCAUCCUCCAACCAUACUACGUCCCUAUUCGGCACUUGCUUCGCUGGAGUCGGUUUGGAAAUUGGUUCAGGAAAUGUCAUCUUCUCUGAGCUUCAGCUGAGAAAACGGCGGUUUCAUUGUAAUUUUUGGAUUUUUUUUUUUGGUUAAGUGAGGCUUCCAGAGAAUUCUACGCGUGAGAGCCAGGUUGAUGACAUUGGAGGGGUUAGGAUUUUCGUCGCCAUGGCUGCGCCGGACGAGGCCAUGUUUUUGUAUGACACUUUAGCGCCGCUUGGGGAUGAAAAUUCAGAGAUCGGGAAGAGAGAUUAUACCAGCUUGAAUACUUCCUUUCUGCCGCUUGGAAGCGACGGGAGUCCGAGUAGAGAGGACUCUGUAGUUGAACUGAUAACGUCGUCUGUGGAACGGCAAGAGGCAAAGGUUUUGAGGAACUCGUCACAGAAGUCGAGUGGCUUAGCAGGAGGGAGCAGCUUGACAGCCCUAGUUGCCGCGGAGAAGGCGGUGCUCGCCAAAGCCUCCACCCAAGAGUUCAAAGCGAGGGCUUAUACCUCAGGUUCAACUGGCUUGGAAGUGCUCAGCACUGUUAAUACAUAUUCUCUUACUCGAACCAAUAUUCAAAGCAUUGGCAGUCCUCAAGUUGAAGACGAUGCCGAAACAUCAGAAUUUAUUGCCCUGGAUAUGGAUGACGGGAUUGAUGCGACUGUUGUACAUGAGGCAUUGCAAUAUAAAGGAAAGGGGGUGGGCAAUCUUGUAGACCGUAGUUUGGCUCCGAAAGAAGCUCCUCCCUGGGCCCGUGGUCGCGACUCAUGGAUUCAAAGUCCCCUGUUGCAGCUCCAUCAAGGUUAGUUGCUCCUGGUCAAUAAGAUAGGUUUGCUUUUCCAUGUUUUUUGUUUACAGUCUAAGAACAUCUCGGAGGCUUCAAAUCAUCCUCGCGAAUCAAUUUCUGCACACGUUUCUUUGAUGACGAUCAGUAUAGCUGCACUCAAUAUCUCAUUUACUACGUAUCGCAAUGUCCAGAGAUUGUGGAUUUCUGCGAGUUUGUUGCACCAACUGAGGAAGAACAACAGAUGCGAGAAACCGCAGUGGAGCGAGUAAGCGGUGUGGUUCAGUCAAUUUGGCCUCACUCCCAGGUAUCACAUUCAUCCUAUUUCAUGCUAUUGAGUGAUUAUUGGAUUGUUUUCGUUGAAUCUCCAUUUUGUUACGAAUUGAUGGUAUAUCUCUUGAUAUUAAUGUCGCUAUCAAAUGUGAUCGUUUUAAGUUUUUUCUAUGGAGAGCAUUGUGGGCUUCAAUUGAGGGUUAGAGGGUUUUUGUGAUAACGCAGGUGAAGGUUUUUGGUUCAUUUGCGACUGGUCUCUACCUGCCCACCAGUGAUGUUGACGUAAGCUCUUUUAUUCGGCUGUUUGAACCCAUUUUCAUACAUCCAGGAGGAUUUUAUCGUCCAAUGGAUCUUUCCUGUCUGUAGAGGGUCCAUUUUGUGAGUGGAUUUAUCUUUCUUAGCAGGUUGUUGCAAAUUCGUCUCUUUUCCAACUUUCAUUUUUUCUUCCCAAUGAAGACGAGGUUUUCAGCACGAAUGUCAAAGUUUGUACUCGAGUUCUGAACCUUUCCUUGCUACUUGGCCUUGCCAGGUGGUUGUUUUGGACUCUGGAUGUACCGCUCUACAGGAUGGAUUGAAAGCUCUUGCAAAAGCCUUGACGAGGGGUCAUGUGGGCAAAAAUAUCCAGGUUGGUAUUAUCUUGUCUCUAGCAGUCAAUUUAACUGAAGUACUUUUUCAGGGCUAUGACUGAAAAGCUUUUAUUGCACUGUACAUGCGAGUAACGGAAAUGUUGGAUGUGUGUUCAUGUGAAGAUGUUUUUCUAGUAUGCCGUAUGUUGUAAAAAUGUGCGGUGAUCCAUAAUUGAGUUUUUCAUCAUGAAAAGACUCCUGUUUGAAUCUCUACAUUGACAUAAUUUAUGUACUUAACCUGUUUUGUGUAUGCUUGGUUUUAGGUCAUCGGCAAAGCUAGAGUACCCAUUAUAAAGUUUGUGGAGACAGUAAGCAAUAUACCCUUUGAUAUCAGGUAUGUGAGGGUCAUCACGCAAACUCAGGUUCACAGCGAUCAUUUUGCCUAAAAGUCUCAAAAGUUCAAUAUGAACUGUUUCUACGCAAAGUAUGAACUGCUCUGAGAAUCCUUUUGUGUUUGUUUGUCCAAAUGUAACACUUACUAGAGAUGCUAUUGCGUAGAGCUCGGGAUCAGAAGCCUUUAAUGUUGUCUUAUGCUGCCAGUUGCAUUCGUUGUGCUCGGAGCUGAAAGUCUUAGUUUAAGUUGAAUCAAUUUAUGAGGGUCGAGCUAAGAAUUCUUGGUGCAUUUUGAGCUUAUCAGUUCGUUAGGUGACGUCUUCUGCACGGCAGUUCGAUGGUUUGUUUUGCAUUACCUGUUUAAACAUUGUCCUUCAGCAGCUUCACCAUGUUGGUGACCAAUGUGUAACCUGAUUUCUGAUAUCCUGCAGUUUUGAUGUUGCAAAUGGACCUGAGGCUGCAGACUUCAUUAAGGUACUUGCUGCAUUUAUCUUUUAUGUAACAUUCAGAGACCACUAGGUAUUGGGAAGAGCCUACGCACAUGGACUGUAGAUUUGUGGAGUUUGACAUAUUGUUUCCUAGGGUUAUUAUAUCUGGAACUUUCUUAACAUUACCUUUUCAUACAUAUAUCCUACAGGCUGCUAUGGGAGCUAUUCCACCUUUGAGGCCAUUAUGUUUGGUGUUAAAGAUAUUUUUGCAGCAACGAGAACUGAAUGAGGUAUUAUGCGUCUGCUAUUGGGGUUUUCCUCCAAGGAAACGACUCUGAAGUCAUUUGUUUUGUUUUGUUUUUGGUUUUUAUUUUUUAUACUGUCAACACUAAUCAUGUGACUUUCAACAAGGAAAUUGCCUUCCGUAGCUGCCAAAUGGUUCAGAUAUAUCAAGUGAUGAGAUGAGUCCAUUUUUAGGGUUGAUCAACCAGUAUCUCAGUUUUACAAAUUUCUUGGUUGUCUAAUAUCUCCACAACGAACUUCUGCAUGUCUAUGGCUUUUCUGUAGGUUUAUCAGGGUGGAAUCGGUUCGUAUGCUCUGCUCGUGAUGCUUUUGACUCAUCUGCAGGUUGGUUAGACCUACCUGUACCAGCGGACGGAUCCUUUUCUGCAUUUGCUGACGAGGUCUCUACGUGUCUUUAACAUUUUCAUCCUGACUCAUAAAACUUGGAACAAGAUAAAUAUAUGUACGGUGUAAGUAUUGGAGUAAGCAAACCUGGAUGUGUUAAGUGUAUAUUAGACAAGUUCUCACUCCCUUUUUGAUUAUCUCCGUGUCAUGCAGAUGCAUCCAAGCAAACGUCGUGUUAGUAGUCGUGGCCAAGGUCCUCCACUUGAAACCAAUCUCGGCAUUUUACUGGUAACAUCUCAUUCUUUAUUGAUCAUUCAGUAUAUAAAUUGGUAGUUCAUCUUUACUCAAUACUGAAGUUCCUUUGCUUACUACCCAUUUGUAUUUGGUGAAAUCCAGCUGAUGUAGUUCUUGACUACUUAGCUUAUCACAAUUAAAGGGGCGGUGAGCUUCAUACAUGUCUCACUUGGUUAUUAUUACACGUCCUCUUAUGGCCUUUGUUCCCUUGUGUGACUCAUCUGCGAUUUGAUGGUGUGGCUUAUAUCAGGUGGAUUUUUUGGAUUUGUAUGGUCGGACUCUCAACAUGAAAGAUGUGGGUAUAUCUUGUCGAGGUGGAGGAAGGUUCUUUCCCAAAAGAGAUCGAGGGUGAGAACAUGCUCAAUUUUUCAUCAUCACGAUUUAGUUCAAGUUCCUCAUUACAUGAGGCUCUGACUUGCGUCCAUGUGCUAUUGUUUUUCACAGUUUCAAUGACUCAAAGCGACCGUUUCUUCUUUGUGUUGAGGAUCCACAGGUGAGUAAUACAUCGUGUUUUUACAAUUCUGAUUGUGAGUUGUCUAGGAUAUUCUUUCUAAGUGUGUUUGUCUGAAUCGCUCAUGGAACGUUUCUCACUGUUUUUUUACAUCGUGCAGUCACCAGAUAAUGACAUUGGAAAAAAUUCUUAUGCAAUUCAGAAGGUACGUUCCAUUAGUCUCUAUCUGGACAGUUAAAAGACCCCUGAAGCAUCAAAUAUGAUCCUUUAGUUAUUGCUCGACUGUAUCAUAUCUAGAUGAUCGUGACUGACCAAAACAGUCAUGUAGUUAACAGCUUACUUAGAUUUAUCUGAUUCUUUGACUCAGGUCCGUUCAGCAUUUAUGAUGGCACAUCGGCUCUUGACAAACUUGAGUGCAAACAAUGAAGUUGGUAUACUAAGUCGAAUCGUUCGUGUGGAUGAAAAACUUGUGGGGCGCAAAGUACCUGCAGCCCUUACUCCGAUGGCACAGAGUGUGCCUGCAAAGAGAUCACGUCCGGCAACCUUUGCUGGAUACUAUCAUGAAUCCAAACCUGUGUCGGAUGAGGACCGGUAUGUUGUAGGUGAUGGAACAUUCUCAAAUUCAGAUUCCGACGAUGUACUGGCGUACAAGACUCCACAGAGAGGGCGUCGAGGUCGCUGGCAGGACUACGAGGAGGAGGAUUUUCCUAGGGGAGAAUCAGCAGAUGGUUAUCUGUCUAAGAAGGCUAAAAGAGCUCAUAAAUACAAAGAAAGGGGUAAUGAUAAAGAUCCAUAUCCUAUGCCUCAAUUUACACCUGACAAUUACAAAGAUAUUGUCUCCCUACCUAAAGAGAAAGGAAGUGAGCACUCAAGAAAACGCCGUCGAGAGGAAAACCUGAAAUCGCAUUACAACUCCAGUGAUGUACCGAGAACCAAGAAGUCAUCGAAUGUGGCGGAGAAUUCUGGUCCAGAAGAAGGAGAAGUUAAACUUGGUCGAAGAGCCAGAAAGCGUGAAGAAUUUCUGAGGUGGAAAGCUGAAAAGAGCGAACGUGAGAGCAAGAGCUCGAGCAAUGCCAUCGUGAGUGACGAGGAAACCACAAAGCGUGCAAAAUCUGCGGCUAGGGACAAUGGACGUAAUCAGCACACGCAUUGGAAUGAGGAUGAAGUAGACAAUUCCAGAAGCAGGAAGAAGCAUUCUAGAUUCAAGGAGACGCCAGCAACUAACAGGGAAAAAGACAUCAAGGAUAGGUUGAGGGGUGAUGUAUCUGAUUUUACACGCCGAAUUGUUGUUACGAAACCUGCGCACAAGAAAAUAAAGUAUAUGUAAGUUCUUCAUCCAGGAAAGCUUUGGUUGUACUAUGGUUUAUUUUGGUGCCUAAUUCAUGGUAUGUUGGUAGGUGCCGAUUUUCACUGGCAACUUCGAUUAGAUUGUUUUUGCGCAUGGGAAAGUUAUUACCGACACUUGAGUUGGACAAAUCUAUUCAAUUGAUAAAAGAAAGCUUCAGUUGGAAAAUUCGAUAUUAUGUAUAAAGUCGAAGCAAACACUUGCAAUUUAGUCUUGUACCUCGAGAGGUGUCUUCAGUGGGGUUAAUGCAAACAUGGGAAUCUAGUAUGCUUGAUCUAAACUCUGAAAGCCCAAUUCCACGCCACUAAAAGUGGGCUAAUUUUGCUCAGAAUUGGGGCACACUAGUGAGACGCUGAAGGUGAUGAGAUUGCUUUUUUUGUGUUCUUGCUAGCUUUGUUUGAAUUUGUGUCCCCACAAACAGCUAUUGGUGCCAUUCAAACCUGAAAUCAUCCUCGCUCACAAGUUCAAAGUAUAUGUACACGCUUAUUCUUAAGUAGCACUUCUAGUUGAUCACAAUGAAGCAACAUUACCUACAUGAGUGUACACAAGAAUGUAUAAAGAAGAGCCUCUUCCUUUUGUAAAGAAAAUGGGUGAUGCGAGAUCCUACAUUUGGUGCCUGCCUAAAAAAUCAUGCAUCGAGGGUGGAACCCAUCGUGUGUGUUUCCUUGCGGUGGCGUCGCCCGUUAGUGCCAAAGAUGAGCUGAGGUGGAUGGACAUGGCAGCUGCACCUCUAAAGGUUCAAAGAGUUGUGAUGUCUGUGGUUACGUAUAAAUAUUUGUUUGUUUUUUUGUUUGUUGUGCUAUUUCAUUGACCAGGUUUUGAGGUUGAUUGUAGUGUCCGUACAAUCAAAACACUUUUUGACAAACUGUGCACUGCGAUUGGGUCACAAUGUUCAUGCCCACAGAGCCACAGUUCUCUUCAGACCACAAGAGAUUUGCAAAUUUUAGCUUUAUGAUUUAGUAGGUAUCAUGUAAAAUAUUGAAGUAAUUCAUGUUUGACAAGUACUAUGAUUUUCAAUUUAUUGAUGAGUGUUUUUGACUGAGUUGUCUUAUACAUAUGUUUCUAGUUGCUCUUAAGAUUUUUUUGAAAUUAUCGUACUCUAGAUAGAGUGCAACAACUAUGUGCACCAAAAUUUUAAUUUGAAUUACUAUUUAGUUAUGAUAUACUUACAAGCUGUAGCACAGCCAAUACGAAACUUGGCAAAGGAAUCACAUUUGCUUGGAGGAAGGAAGACCAGGCACAUGUGUGCUCUUUUUAAUACAUAAAAUAGAACUCUUCGAAGGGAAGUUUCUAUAGACUUUUUCGAUGUUUCAUCUCAAUGAAGUGCUAAUAUAGCAAGAGUUCGCCUACGUGUAGUCUUCGCUACAGAAGCUUUAUGCCACUUUGAAACAUCAUUGCGAGGAAUGAUAAAUUAAGAAUUUUUUUUCUGAAUACUCCAAGUUGCAUGAGUGAUGUUGCAUUAUUUAAACAAGGUGCUCCGUCAAAAUUUUGCCUCUUCCCCAAAUCCAACCACACAACAAACACAUUAUUUACACUCGAAUUUGUUCGUAUUUUCAAAAAGGGUAAAGAAAAGCAAGCAAGACCCGGGUUGAGUUCAAUUAAGGGUUGCGGUCCUGCCCUUUGUCCUGUUCAAGUUAAAGAUUGCAUCAUUCCAUUGCGAAUCAACCUGACCUGGCAUCUCUAUCCUGCUCUCCGACUUGCAAGACCUUGACCACUACAGCACUGUGAGAGCUACAAUUCCCCCACUUGGGUGAGAAGAAUCAACUCCUGGCUUAGCUUCUUGUAGACCUGUGGUUAUGCCCUCUACUACUGAUGGCCCUGACACCACCCGAUUAGACGUUGAAUACAGUUCUCCAAGGAGUUAGCAGCCCUAAACUUACUGGCAAAACCUCUGAGAUACUAGUUCCGCGUCUGACAAUUAUCACAUCCUCUUCCGACUGCAUGGUCUGAGCUUGUGAAAGGCUGCACUCGCCUGAGCACACGGCCGAAGCUUUUUGCUGGUUUCACGUCCAUCAUAGCUCUUAACCUGCAACACAUAAUUGUCAAGAGCGCAAGCUUGAUGCUUUAUGUUGAAAUGGCAUUCACUUGUACGCAGAAAUGACAGACGGAAAUGAGUACAGCCAGGCGUUUGAUUUCGUCGAUCACUUGAGGGAGGGGGGGGGGGUGUUUGGUGCACAUUGUUUGUAGUGGUUGUGUAGCGCUGCUCAUUCGGUUGGAUUUGCAGUGGUAACAUUGACUACCUGCUUGUUGAAUUUAAAAAAGCAACAUGCAAAAAGUCGAGAAAUGCACGAACUUAGUAUCGGCAAAAAUUGUCUCAAGUAUCCUCUGACGCCAUACAUAUCGAUGAUUGUGAGGCAGUAAUACGUAUAUGAUUGAGAGUGUGUUUGGCUUCAACGCUGGAAUGAAGACAACAAUCUGAACAAACAUUAAUCUCUAUCUGAUGUCGCACACAAAGCUCAAUCUGCGCACCUAUGUAAUUUUUACACCCGUGUCCAAAAAAGUGUUAGGGGUGCACUCCGUCCACUCAGCUUCUCCGAAGCUACUCGAAGUGCUACAAUGACGGUUCUGGCUGCGGAAUAAAGUUUACAUUUCUACAUUUAUCGAAUAUGUGACAAACUGGCUUGUAUCCAGCAGCACUGAUGCAUCUAAUCCCUAAGCAAGUGAUUUAGACUAAUGCAAAACCUGCUAGCUGCGCAACAUAACGAGUGUUAAAAUCAAAUUGGAUAAAGUGGAUGCUCCAAGUCCAAUCUCCAGGUACUCUCCCAAAGUGAAAAGUUCCGGCUUCUCGUCUAGCUCUAGCUGCAACACAUGAAUCAGGAUUGCAAGUCUCAACUACUAACUGGUCGGUAUAGUAAUUUCGGAUGGUUGUGUGGCCCCAAGCAGAAACACAGGAGCUGUCAUCGGCUCCUGUCAAUCACGUUUCAGCUUCCAACAUGAGGUUGAAGCUUUGUUUAUUCCUCUCUUCUGUGGCUAAGACGUUAUCGUCAGCCAAGGCAAAUCAAUCGAGCCCCUCUCCAUGGGCUUCCUCUAGAAUCCGAGACGGAAGCCGAUUCCCCGACUCGUCAUACGUGAUAAUCCCUGAGAAGGAGAGCGGCCGACAGCGCCUACCUUUGGGAAUUGUUCGCUGCCACAGAGCACCAUUACCGUCUCGAUCAUAAUGGUCCACCACUUCGGCUGCUUCCAGCUCCUGCGACAAACCACUAGCACAACUACUCGUGCUCAUCGUGCUUCUCGGAGUCGCCUCUCCGUCCUCUUCAGCUGACCUCAUCACCAGUGGACCACGCACGGCACACAUACCCAUUGCAGUCCCUUCAGCCAACUCUUCUUCUCAACUUCCAAACUUGACAACAAAGUAACAUGACACGCUUCCACCCCCCGAAUCCUACCACAAACUCUCACUUCAUUGCCAGAGCCCAGACCUCACAAAGUGAAACAGUAACUGAGACCUCGUAAGCAGACAGAUAUAACGAAUAUCGAGCUUCCAGUGUCAAUAAACGACAUAGCUGCGAGUUCUACGCCAAGACACUGAGAAUCUAGACGAGGAAACGAGCCAGCCACUGUUACGAUAUAUGCGACUCUUGUCGCAGUGGCCGGUGAACGUGAUAUUCUACUCUCUGUGAUAUGGGUCUCUCUCUCUCUCUCUUUCUGCGAGUGAAAGAGUGAGGGAGAGUGUGCAUCGAAUCCGCUCUCAUGCGGUGACAUCGCAACAUCACCGACUUGUCUAGAACGCCCGGUGGCCUGGAAUCGCAGAAUCGCAGCAUCGAUCGCCGGAGUUUGGACGCGUAGCACCGAUCACCUAUUCUGGGUGGGAAAGAAAUGAGCUUUUUGCAUUUUAAACUUGCGAGAGGUUGAUAGUGGGUCUUGGUGAGAAUGGAUCCAAACUUGAUUUAUUGUUAUUGUUAUUCUUAUUUAUAUCAAUAAGUGGGACUGCUCCUCCGACAUGAGAUUGAUUCAGUCAAGCUCUCUGUAUUUGGAAACAAUAGGUGCCAAUAAUUCCCCUCUUUGUCUCAACACUUGCUCUCUUUUUUGUUUUGUUUUCUGGAUUUGGUCGGUGGAGACUGAUGCUUUCUUUUGAUUAAGCUUUCAAAUGUGACUUGAAGAGUACAAUUGAAGUGAGUGUAUUUAACCUUGAAGCAUAUUAAACUCUAGAAUAUAUAUGUAUAAAUAUACACAUACAUACAUACAUACAUACAUCCAUUCAGGCUUGAUUCAAAUUUUAGAGCUUCAAAUCAUUAGUUCUUUUUUGUAGCCAAUCAAGGUUUUAAUGUUUAUUUUAGGGAUUUAGCUUCUCAUUUCUAUCAAGUCCUUAUUAUGCAUAUUAUUUUAAACUUGAUUAUUUUAAAGUUUUAUUAUCUCUUUUUGUUCUAUAUUUGUUUUUUUAAAAUUAUUUGAAAUUUGGUUUAAUAGGACUAUUUUUUAAUUUUGGUUAAGUUAUAAAAAUUUUUCUUUCCACACCUUAGUCUAAGACCAAUGUUAUAGCACCAAUCAUCUCAACAAUUGGGUUUGCCAACUACCACAAGAAAAUUGGUGUUGUAGUCUAUUUCAAAUUUCAAGUGCAAUAUUGCUAAAAUUACAAUUCUAUCACUAACAACUAAAUAAUAUCAUCUACUAUUAAUCAUAUAUGUAAAUAUAAUAAUAUUUCUUAGGACUCUACUAAUAACUCUUAACAACAACAAUAUAAGCUUUGUAUAUUAUCUAUAAUAUUAACUCCUUUAUUUAUAAAAUAUAAUUAAAUAACAUUUUUACCACUUUUAUCAACUCAAAAAAAGAAGAAUUUAGAAUCAACUUUUAAGAAGUCAUUUUAGGAGAAUCUCUUCUAAAAGAAUAUACAUGCUACUAUAAAAAUAUGUAAAUUUUAAACUUUCAUUGUAGGAUUAUGGUUAGUAACAAAUUCUUUGGAUAAGAAAAAUAGAAUUUUAUUUUUUUUUAAAAAAAGAAAAGAAUAUUGUAUGUUAUAUAGCUAAGCAAGUUUUCAAAAUAUUGCUAGAAUUAUAACUAAUUUUUUUAUAAUUAAAGAUUCAUAAUAGACUCAUUUAAAAAAUAAACAUAUAUCAAAGAUUUUUUAUUUAUCAACAUCCAUAUUAAAGAGAGAGCUAAUAUUUUAUUGUUACUAUAAUUAUUUUACUUACAAAGAUUUCCAUAAUUUCUAAAUCUUGGAAGUUUAGAUCUUAAAUUUUUAUCUUUUAAUCAAAAUAAGAAAACAACAUAAAAAUUCUUCUAAGACUAUAUUUUUUUAAUUUAAGUUAAUACAUAUUUUUAGAUCCAAAUAACUUCAAUAUAAAAAUGUAUGACAAUUCUAAAUAAAAAGAUAUUAAGAUCUUACUUAGAAAUUUUAUCAUGAUUAAAUAAUUUUAAAAUAUGUAAGUAAGUAAUAAACUAGAUCAGAAUGUGAUAACCAAAGAAUUAUUGAUAAGAUGAAUUUAUAAGCUACGAAAGAAACUUAAAUCACACAUACAUAUAGAUUUUAUUUUUUAAAAUUUAUUUUUAUGUAUAUUUUAAUUUCAAGGCUAAAGGCUUGUUAUUUAAACUUCUAAUGUUUUUCUAUCUUAGCUACCAUUAGAAGAUUUUAAUAGAACUUUCUUAAGAUGAUAUAUUAUCUAUGUCAUCAAAACAUCAUAUUAAAGAAGUUUCUUUACAAAAAAUUUUGAGCUUUAAAAAAGUCUCUUUAUUUAAGAAUUGUUCUUUAAGUUUUUAUAUAUAAAAUCUAGAGAUUUUUCUACAAAGUUUUAAAAAAAUAAUAACAACCUAUAAAUUAUAUAUAUAACACCUAUUAUAUUUUAUCCUUCUUUAUCUAUUUGAUCUAAUAUCAUUCUAAUUCAAUAUUUUGAUUUAGCUUACUUCAAAUCAAAAAUCCUAAAUCUUUUUAUAUUGAUAAAGUUCAUACCUUUUUUUUAUCCAAUGUUAAUAAUUUUACUUCCAACUACUAAUUUUAUGGCAUAUCUAUAAAUUAUUUGAUUAAUUAAUUAGCUAUAGAAUAUAAAAUUAUAAAAAAUAUGAUUAGUUAAUAUUAGAAACUAAGUUAUAUUAUAAUUAAUAUUUAAUUAUUUUAAGAUCUAAAACUCUACUAUAGAAGUAUUAUAUAAACCUUAUGGUUUUUUAAAGCCUCAACAUUGCCUCAUUAUUAGCUAGUAUAUCUAAAAGGAAUACUAAAAUCUAACUUUAGUUUCAAAAUUUAUUUUUUAUAUUCUAAUCUUAAUUCAAAGUUAUAUAUAUAUAUAUAUAUAUAUAUAUAUAUAGUUAUUUUUUGUAGAUAUAUUUUAAUUUAGUAUAAAAAAGAAUAAAUUAUAAAUGGUAUAACCAUGUAUAUUAUAAAAAAUAUACAUUUAAUUAGAAUUUUUCAUUAGUUGGAAGAAAUAUAGAUCCAAAAUAUUAAUUUUAAAUGGAUAAAUAGUAAGAAACUUAUUAAAUUAUUUUAUUCACUUUUAGGCAAUAAUUCUUUAAUUUUUCAAUCAAAUUAUUUAAUUUUAAAAUAAAAUAAUAAAUAAAAUAAUAAAUUUGAUUUUUGGACUACAAUCAACAUAGUUCUAAUUCAAGAGUUAAAGUUAUCAAUUAUAAAUUAGUAGAUGUAAAUCACAAUGUUGAGGUUAAUUAAGGUAGUCAAUUUAUUCUUAGUAACUUAAGUAUUUCAAUAUAUAUAUAUAUAUAUAUAUAUAUCUAGUAGAUGUAAAAAUAAAAAUAAAAUACUUCUAUUUAGGAAAAUAAAAAUAAAGAAUAUUUGAAGUAUUUUUAUAUAAUUUGGAUAAAAAAAAAUUAUAUAAAUAUUUUAACUAAAGAUUCUCUUCAAUCCAUUUCAAACAUACAAGUCAAGCUAAUUUUCACUAGUGGUGGGUUAUAAAACCAAGAAUCUAAAUUUUAUUAAAACAUGAUGUAUAGCAUUUAAUUAUGCUAUCAAAUUUCAACUAAUUUUGUGCUACCUAUGCAUGUAAAUAAAUGGAUGAAGCAACAAAAGUUCAAACAGUAGGUUAUAAGUAAUCCACCAUAUUUGAGUGGAAUUUUUGCUACCAUUCUUUUUUAUUUUUACUCAUCUUUAAAUAAUAUCUCAUACAUCUUUCAACUUUUGAUUUUGCUCCAAUGGAUUCCUAAAGAUCUCUCUCUACUAUAGGAUUGCAAAAGCCACUCAUAAGAUAUCAAAAUGUAUUACAAAUUUGUGAGAUUUAGAUGAAUCCAAAAUUGUUGUGGUUGCAACAUGGAUUGUUUAGGAUUAAUAUAGUUUUGAAAUGGCCUCCCAAAGAGAAAAUGAAGGCCCUUCAUGAAUUAUGAACCAUAUACUAGAGGAUGAAAUAGAAUACAAACUAGCCUAUUAUCAUGGACAUACAUAUUUGCUCUAAGAUUUACUUAUAUGAUUAAACAUAAGUAGAUGAAAGUAGAUUUAUUUCAUAAUAUUUUCUAGAAUAGCUUCCUAAAAGCUUCAUAGAUGCUACUUUGACUUUACAUGUAUUUGUAGUUGAUUGGUAGGUUAGAAACUUGGUCAACAAGUUAACCACAUAUUAAUAGCUUGUGAAACAUGCUAACUAUGUUGCAUACAUAUAAAAAACUUGCCUUGCAAGUUAAAAUAUAUGUCUUGCAAAGUCAAUGCAUUUUGGAGGUCCUAUUGGACAUCACUAGGUAGCUCCUAGUUAAGAGUAUAUAUAGAGGUAAGAGUGAAGCCUUUUUCACUCUUGUCAACACCUUUCUAUUCUUUAGUCUUCUUUCAAGACUUUUUAGUCUUCUUGUCUUUGGAAAUAGCCAUUCUAUUGUAAUAUCAUAUCAUCUUUGAGUGACUUUGUAGUUCUUUUGAGUGACACAAGAGUGUAUUAAGGAUUUCUUUUUUCAAGAUUUUUGUCCUUGACACGUGUAUGCUAGAAGUUGUGGUCAAGUACUUGAUUGCAAUAGUAAGGAUAGAUGCUACAAAUCAAUUUCAAGUAAGCUUGCACUAGUCUCAAAUCCAACUUUUAUAUCCAUGUGUGUUGAUGAAGAGGUCCCAAAUUACAUCGUCCAUCUACACUCCAUGCUAGAGUCUUAGCAUCAACAAUCUUUAUACACCUUUAUAAUCCCUCAUAGUUUGAUUUGGAAUAUUAAAUUUAGAAUUAUAUAUGAAUAUUAUGCAAUUAAUUCAAGAUAAAAAUCUUGAUUAGAAAAAAGAGAAUGAAAGAACAAAGAUUUGACAAAAAGAAUCAAAACGCUAAAGAUUGAUGGAUUUAGAAAAAAAGAGGAUUUUAAAAGAAGCUUGUCAUGGAAAAAAAAUAGACCUACAAAGUUGUUGAGUGAGAGGCUAUUAUGGAAGCAUAUGCCUACAAGGUGCUUGAAUAACUAGCCACAUGCAAAGUAAUUACAUCUACAAAGUUGGUACAACACUUUCAAUUUUAAGCCUAAUAGGUGAAGUCUUGGAUGCUGGAGCUUACAAGAAGGUUGUGAAUAUCAUCAGGAUUAUCUAGCAUAAACAUUCUUGCAUGGAAUGCAAGGUGAUUUUUGAACCAAGUCGAUACUAUAGGAAUUUUUUUAAUCUAUGUCAAUAUUGUAUUAAUGAUUUUAAAAAAAUGACUAUAGAAUCCACAUUAUAUCUUAUUAGAUUGGACAUAUUUGUAAUUGUGGGUACUAUUAAGAAGCAAGUUAUGGAUUUUAGAUUAAGGCAUAUAAGAUCUAAUUCAUCAACUUUUUUUGCCAACUCCAAAUCCGACAUAUUUAUUUUAAUAAAUAAAAAAAAUUAGUGGUAGAAUUUGGAAUAAGCUCUAAAUUUGUUGUAUUGUUGUGAACUAGAAAGACAUGUAAGUCUUCACCAACUAAUUUCAUGCUUUUGCCUUCAUUCUUUGCAAAAUUUCCAAUUGUGUUGUUUUAUCUUGUCCAACUUCUUUUACAGAUUGUAUAUAUGUUUUGUUUGGAUCCAUAUAAUUAUCCAUUGUUGUUUUAUCAAGUAGAAAGAUUUUAAUAAAGUUAAAACUAUUGAUAAUAUUGAUCAUUGUCAAAGCAUGAUUCAAGCUCAAGGAUAUCCAAUGCACAAGAAUUUGUUUCUAUAUAAGGUGGUUUAAGUUUUUGGAUAUCCAAUAAUCUUGAUAUUCUUUGAAAUAGGUCUUAAAUGGUUCAAAUAUACAUAUAUCUAGAGGUUGUAUGACAUACAAUGUGUAAGAUGGUAGGAUUAGAAUGUCCAAUUCUAUGUCUUGUGCUAAUCUUGCUACUUCAAUAGUAACAUUGUCAUAUAACAUGAAUUCUUGCAUGAAAAUAUACUAGACAUUUAGCUAUGGAAGAUAAGUAAAAAAUGCAAUAAUAAGAUCCUAUCAAAUCUAAUAGACUCUUGAAUAAACUUUAAUUAGUCUUUAAUAAAUCUAAUCAAAUUUUAAAUAAUCCAAAAAAAUUAAAGAAAUUAUUAAAGAAACAUAAAAAAGAUAUAAAUUAAUUUCAAGAAAAAUAAUAAAGAAAUCCUAAAGAAAUACUAAAAUAAAAAAUUUAAAGAAAUAAAAAAUAAUUCUUUAAAAUUUUAAAAAUAAAAAUUAUAAAUAAAUCCUAAAUAAAUAUUAAAUAAAUCCUAAUCAAAUCUUAGUAUAGUUAUAAAUAAAUCCUAAUAAACUUCUAUGGAUUCCUAAAGAAAUUAUAACAAAAAACUAAAAAAAUUAUAAUAAAACUUUAUCAAAUUUUAAAUAAAUUUAAAAAAAAACCUAAAAAAAUCCUAAUAAACUUCUAUUAUUUUCUAAAUAUAUUUUCACAAAAACCUAAAUAAUUUUUAAUAAAAAUUCUAAUUAAAACUUUAACUAAUCCAAAAUCAAUUUUAAUUAAAUCUCAACCAAAUUCCAAAUCAACUCUAAUCAAAUCUUAAUCAAUUCUAAACCAGCUCUAAUCAAAUCCUAAUCAAAUUUAAAAUCCUAAACCAAAUCCUAAACAAUCCUAAGAAAAUCAUAUGCAAAUUAUAACCAAUUUCUAUAGUUUUUUUUAAAAUCUCAAUAAAUAUUAAUCAAACUAUUGAUCUUAUUUAAAAUUUUACUUACACUUCAAGCUACAAGAAAUUAAUAUGCAUACAAAAUUUAAAGAAUAUCAAACUCACCAAUUGAACAAAAAGCUCUUGCAUGUCAGCUGUCUUCUUUCUCCAACCUGAAUGUUGAACUUUUAGCGACAAUUUUUUUAGUUCAAUUGCUUUUAAAAUUGGCUAGUGUAUAGAUUUCUAAAUCCAAAUAGUCCUCACCAAUCUUUUCUUCAAUUGAACUAGCAAAUUUGACAAGAUUGCAAAAAUCCUUAUUGAUUCUAAAUUUCAAGUAUCUAAAAUUCUAAUUUGAUAAAACUCUCUGAUCCUUCAAUUUAUUUGUUCAAUUGACAUCUAAUUUCUCAAACACAUUUACAACAAGUAAAAUAUUUUUUUUAUAAAAUAUCAUGUAUAAAUAUGCUACAAAAGUCACAAAAUCUUGAAAUUUAUAAACUUUAUUUUAUUUUUCAAAAUCCAAAACUAUUAAGUAUAUCUUAUUUUGGAAAGCCCUCAAAAACAUAAUAUGCCUUCAAAUCACAUGAAACAAACUCUUCAAAAACCUCACACAAGUCUACUCCUAUAUCUUGCUCUUUGUUCAACUAAAAACCCUCAAAUUGCUAUAGGUGUGUGGUUUUGUGCCUUGGAAUUUGAUUUUAACCUUAAUUCAUAACUAAUCCUUUUUAGAUAUUAGUUCUUAAUAUUUUAGAAUAUUUUUUACUAAAACCUAUUCUUAACUCCCUUCUAAAGAUGUCUAUAUGAUUUAUUUUCUUAAUCUACUUUAUUUUACUUAAUUUAUGGUCUUACAAAGUGAAUAGAAGCCUCUUUUACAAAAAGGCAGCAUUAACACUAAUUAAUUUUUACUACUUCCUUGUCUAUUAUCUAUAUUUUUAAGAUAAUUUGCUAAAAUAUUAUCAUUUUAGCUCCUCUAUAAUAUAAUCUUUGCUUUCUUCUUUCACCUAAUGGAUGUCUUACAACACAAUAAUGUAGGACUUAAGCCCAAUCAUACAUAGCUAAAACAUACUUCACAAGCUUGCUUUCUUCUUCUAUAAUUAACAUUUUUUGAACUCCCUCUUUUUUGAAAGAUUACCUUCUAUAAUACUACUUUUUAAAAAUUAUAUAUAGAAUAUCUUGACUUAUUGCUACUUUUUUAAUGCUUCUAUGUUCCUCAUACUUUGCUAAUAUUCCUCUCAUUUGCUCAUUACUCUAUAAAGAAUUCCUUCUUACAUUGACAAUGUUCCUCAAACAUUGCUUUGAUAGUAGUGGUUACAAAUAUUGGUUGCUAAUAUGUCGUAAAGUUGUUCAAAUGUUUGUGAUGUCCUAUACAUUAUCGUGUGAUAAUAUGCCUAUGUAGUGAAAAAAGAAAGGAAAAAUUAUACUAUUGAGGAGCUUAAAUAAAAAUACUUAAAAAAAUUAUCUUAGAAAUAUAGAUAAUAGAUAAGGAGGUAAUAAAAAUUAAUAAAUGCUAAUGUUGCCUUCUUGAAGAAGAGACUUCUAUUUAUUUUGUAGGCAUAUAAGUAAGCCAAAUCAAAAUAAACAAAAUAAAUAAUUGAUAUAUUCAUUUUUAAGAAGAGAUUAAAAAUAGAUUUUAGCAAAAAUCACCUCAAAAUAUUAAGAAUUGAUACAUGGAGAAGACCAAUUGUGAAUUUAUGUCAAAAUUAGACUCCAAGGCACAAAAUGGCAUAUCUACAGCAACUUCGAGAUUUUUUGGUUGAUUAAAGAAUGGAAUUUAAAAGUAGACUUGUGAGAGAAUUUUUGAAGUUUAUUUCAUGUAAUUCAAAGGUAUAUUGAGGUUUUGAAUGCUUUUCAAAGUGGAAAAUGUAUUCAAUGAGUUUGGAUUUUGAAAAGUAAAAAAAAGUUCAAAAAUUUGAGGAUUUUGUGAAUGAUGUAGCAUAUUUACUGGUGAAACUUUUUAGAUCUGUAAUUAUAUUUUUCUUAAUUAUGAUUAUUAGGAUUAAGCAUAUUAAGAAAUAAAAAAAAAUUCAAGUUCAUAAUUACAAAAAAAAAAAAAAAGAUUAUGAAUUUCAUAAUCAAUUAAUUUUUUUAUGAGUUAUUAGCUUUUUACAAAAAGAAUUGUAGAUAUAGCCCUAAUAAUAUACAUACAAACCUCAGGUAUCAAAAGAACACAAAACUCAUAUUAUUAGAACUCUUAAUAACAUUACUUUAAUCUGCAAUCUAAGUGAUCAAUCUCCAAUUCAAGUAAGCCAUCAAACCAUCGGAUUUGUGCACAAGCAUUUGAAUAACAAUACUACUCAACUCCAAGAGAAUCAAACCCUCAGUCAAGGCCUUCAAUGCAAGUCUUUGAAUAUAAUAUUUAUUUUUAACACUAUUAGAAUGACACAUGAUAAAACAUUAAAAAACUUACAAUAAAGCUAGCACUAAAUCUGAUCAAUUUUACACUUCCUAAAUAUUACAAAACAACAAAUUUAAGCUACAGAAGCAAUUCAUUGAAUCCAGCCAAAAUUUAGCAAAGUAUUAGCUCAAAAAAUUUAGAAUUUUCAAAAUCCAUGUACCUUUGACCAUUGCGUCUUUUAUGCCUUGCAAUUGUCUUUUGGGAGUGUGUUUUAACAGUCGUCCAAUACAAAGAAGCAAAUGAACUCACAAAAUCUAGAAUUCACCUCCCUUGCCUCACAAUCAAUCUAGUUGCAAGUACAAAUGUUGAAAAGCACUUUUGUUAUCUUGAUUUUAUUUACAACCAAAGCAUUUCGGAUUUUUGCCAUAUCAUCCAUGCUAUUCGAAAGAUUAGAAGUACACAUCCCAAUCACAAUAUGAACAUAAAAAAAUCAAAUGCUGAUGCAUAAUGAAUUGUCACAUAUUUGCAACUCCAUUAAUAAAUACAUUGAUUUUUGACAAUUCAUGCUAUCCAUUUUAAGAAUAGUGAAUUGUUUAUAUUGCUCACAAUUUAACAUCAUUUUUGCAAGGCCCCCAAUCUAUUUCCAACCACAAAAUGUUAUUAUAGGUCAACAAUAGGUUGCUGGCUUAGCAAAAAUACUCCAUCCUAUAGAUCAGAAAUGGAGGGGUGGUUUACAAUAGAUUGGCUACCUGAGUAUUAAUUCAAUUGUUAAAAGUAUCUAAUUAGUAGAGAAAUCACAAAAUGUAUUGGUAAAUUCCCACUCUAAAUUGUCAUCAUAGUGGCAUGAGUUUUGUAAUGAUUUAGUUAUCAAUAUUGCAAUGGAUGAGAGUGUUCACAACAAAAACCCAGCGUCAUUACAACACACUGUUUUGGUACAAAAAAUGAUUCCAAGCAAGACCACUUCAAACAAUUCAUUUUAUGUAUCCAGAUGUACAUUCCAUUAUUAAACUUACAUUUCACAACAGCACUCUGUAUUGUAUUCCUUAAGGAACUAUCCUCAAUUUCACCGACAGCUCAAUUCUACAAGCUUCGGAAGCAUGGGAGUGAAGAAACAGGAGUGAUAGGAAUUGCAUGAAACUGUAAGGCAAACCCACUGGACUCGAAGUUGAAUGACAUGGAAGUGUUUUUCUAUGGACAUGUGACCAGCUAUCAUUGCUGCUCUUCGGAGUACAGUUGCAAAUAUAAACAAGAAAGUCAUUACUGCAACACCAAUCUCUGUUUGAAAUCUGAAUGCCAGAUUGCCAUUCUACAUUACAGCUAUGGAAGAAACUCGUGGAAGAGCAAGUAAAGAAGUUUUCUUUCUUUCUUUCUUUCUUUCUUUUGUUCUCGUAGUCUACAACGCGUGGAGGAAUCUUCCCACAUACUUCUCCAAAAAUUGUAUAGAUUUAUCAAUUGGGUUUAGAUAAGCAACAAUGCCGCGACCACGGCGGAGAUGGACUCACAUCUUGAUCAAGUCUUGUAAGUGGAUCUGCAUCCUUUGACAAUCAAUUGGUUUCCGCCAUGCGACUUACGGGAAACUGUGGACCAAUUUUUAUACUCCGGUGGCGGUCUUGGACUUCGGUGCAGAAGCAGCUGCACCCUCCGGAACAAAAACCUAAAUCCUGGUGGUGACGGUGAAAGUGGAUACCCAUCCAUUCACUGACUCUCUUCGACGACGUUACGGUGAAUUCUUACGCGAAUGUGUCCCGGGUUUCAGAUCUGGAAGGCUUCUUCCCGCUCCGCCAAAUUCUUGCGAGACCGGCCGAAAUGCUCAUCCACCUUGUCGUCGUAAUCCUCCUGCGGCAAUUUGAGCUGAGUGCCAUGUUCGUCGUACACGAUCACUCCUGAAAAUGAAAGAGGCGUGCACCGUCUUCCUUUGGGGAUUGUUCGCUGCCAAAUUGCGACUUCCUGAUAAAAGUGACUCGCGGCCUCUGUGACGUCUAGUUCCUGAGAUACGGCGCUCACGUAGCCUGAGCUGUUGCUGCUCGUGGUGCUCUUCUGAUCAGACAAUUCGAUCUCGUCGUCUUCGUGCAGGACCCGAGGGCCUCGAAUGGCACACAUUCCCAUUCUAACGGAUUGGUUUAAUUACACGGCUCCAAGCGCACAGGUCGAUGAGCUCCUUCAACCACAACACCUACACUACCACCGGUCGACGACGACGACGACUCUGGAUCCUGAAUUAAAUCUUUGUCCAAUCCUCUCAAACAGCAAGCACACACCAGACCACGGAACAGCAAACUUCCAUGUAACCUGAACCUUGAACGGACAACGUGCAUUGGCUCUAAUAUGGGGAAGGGGGGCUAUUUCUCUUGUAUUGUAUGGCACGACAAAAGCGGAAUCAUAUGAACGCAACGUGUCGCACACGGAUGAAGUUAGAAAGAUCGAAAUCGGGUAGACAACGCCGAAGGUUCACGGACAGGGAGAUCCAGAAGGGACCUGGUAGCGAGAAUAGAAAGUUCCGAAAUCUCGUGACAUGGCAAACUACACGACGAACCUGGAUCUGGAAAGGGAACGAAAAUCCACGAUAACGGUGGCCCUAAAGCAGUCCACACCGACGGGGGGGGGGGGGGGGGGGGUGGGUUCCAGAGUGACGAAACAAACAAAGAUAGAAAGAAAGAACGCGACGGGGAGGCCAAAGCGCGUGAGGAUCAAUCGAUCGAUCGAUCUGGUGUCAGGAUCAUCGCAACUACGCUUGCUUGCCUGCCUGCCCCCUUCCACCCGGUUUCGCACGGCGAGAGGGGCCGUCGUCGGCGAUCCUGCGCGGGGAGAUCCCGGUGUGGUGAUCCAGGGCAGCAUGACGAUUAUGGCAGUGAGUGUGUGAGUGUGUGAGCGAGUGUUGCGCAAUUCAAUCCAAUCAAUCCAGAUUGGAUUUGCCUCCUCCUCCUCUUCCGUGAUUGCGUCCCCUCCUCAAUCCUCAAUCCUCACGCGUCGUCGAUGUCGUCGUUAGGGUUUUCCUAUCUGCCCUCCGCCCCCCGUUUCUACAUCCCAUUCAUUCAUCCAUAAGUGAUGGAUGGUGUAUGUCAUCCGAAUAUUCUCAUCCAUGAGCCGCGUUGUUGGGUCGGAUGGGAUCACAGUGGGAAUGAUGUUCCACACACACACAAUUUUAUCCUAUAUUGUGUGUGUGUGUGUGUGCGAGUGUGUAUUGUUGAAAGGUGAACAACUGAUAAUAACAUCUUUUAUGUUAAAAAUAGUUUUAAGUUUUGUAUCCCAAUUUUGUGCUUAUUGAUGUCAUCAACUUGACAUUGAUGGUUGUUAUAAUGUCAUCAAAUGAUAUAUCAUUAGGAACUAAUUGUGCUCUUUCCUUCUCUCUCUCUGUGUUUUUUUUUCUUUUUCUUUUUUGCUAAAAGGAAGCAUGGCUUGCAUCCAAUGUGAUCUUGGACCAUAUCAUAAUCAACGCUUGAAAUUACUUCAUUACAUUGGACUCUCAAUUUUUGGGUUUUCAAUGUUUAUGAACAAAUGUUUACAAUUUCUAUGACUCGUGAACAAAUAUUACUAAUUAAGAUUUUUAUCAUUAUUUCUCCCACAUUCAUG